rnacentral:lncRNA from 1 species
AAAUGACUUGCUGGAGAAUCCGCUUGAGCUGACACAGUUGGCUCAUUCAUCGUCAAGUUAUAUAGCACCUCAAAGUUGCUUAGAUUGGAACCAUUCCUAACGUGCAGAAGCUUGGCAAGCUCAUGCAAUGGUGGGUGUUCAGAGUAGAAAAUGGAAGGAUAGCUAGGGUUACUUUGUAUACAGGCCAAGGAUAAGUCAUCCAGCCAUUGGGUAACUCAGAUAUGAAGCAGCAAAACAGCUUGUUUUACUCCGCUUCUCCUGCAGAUCACAUGGAAGUAAGCUCUUGCUGUAAGUUAAUGGACAGAUAUCAAUGUUGUUGAGCAAAUAAAUGGAAGACAAAACAAUGGAGAGACAAGGUGACUUCGGGAUUGGUGAUAAUUAACCUGCAGUAAGUGAUGGAUUCAGCGGGAAGCAUCAUCCACAUGCAAUGGGCACACAGAACUGUGGAGAGAUUUAGAGAGAGAAGGGAAGAGCCCUUGAAGUUAGGGUUGUGAAGAGCUAGUAUACAUCAUGAAUGAAUAAUAAUGGCCUGAGUUCAUUGGAUUGAGUGUUCUGCAUGGGAUCAGAAGAAGGAUAGGUCUCUUCAACCCUAAGCAAAGUUCGCAAAGAAAUGGAUGUAUAACGCAUCAGAUGGGAACUUCGAUGACGGCAUGUGGCAAAGAGAUUGAAUCCAGAUGUACUUAAUGGUAUAUCCAUAAAAAUAUAGUGAAGUGUUUAUCUUCUUUAUUGCAUUUGCUUAGGUAAGCGUAGAUCAAGUCUGGUCCACAGCAUUCAAUCGGAAACUUGGAGGGUAGCUAAUGCGUUAGCUCCUAGGGAUGGAUUCCAGUGGUACAAAACACUGAAUGAGAGGAACGACAGAAUGCCGUGAGACUAUGCUCCGAUGUCUCCUUUGAUGUGCAACAAAUUAAUCUUGAAUUGUUGCCAAUGGGAAGUAUCACUUUCAGAAAAUGAAUUGUUUAGUUUCAUGCACACCAAAAUUUGAAUUUAGAAAUAAAAUUGUAUCCAAGUAAUUUUUUUUUACAUAGAAAUUAUUAAGGAAAAAAUUAACAUCAAUGCUACCUUAGUGUAAAUUUAUUGUCAGAAGAAUCUUGUUGACGUGUUGGUUAGCUUGAUAUAGUCUAAACAUGUGCGUAAGAUUAUCCAAGAUGAAAAUAUUGUACUUUCGAGGAUCUGUCUUCAUGAAGACCGAGGUCGGGAGAGGUUUCUCGAUCCGAUCCCUCUGAAGUUCAAGUUAGUAAUCUGAUGUUCCCAAAUAUGAGUUUGAAUAGUUUGAAAAAAGAGAGCCUCCCCUUAUUUAAAAUAUAAUUUUAUACAAAUGAAAAGGAAGCUUGGGAUUAUUUUUCUUGUUAUAAAGAAAAAUAAGAAAGUUUUUAAUUACCUUCCGUAUCAUAAUGAACGAGAAGGAAGCUUGUGUUUUCUUGUUUUAAAUCUUCGUCCAUGUAGGCACAUGGGUGGACGGUGAUUUGGAUCUCACAUGACAACCAUAUAUUGGCUAACAAUAGAUUUUCUAUCAUUUGUCUCCUCCCCAAAGGUAUAUUGCGGAGCUCUUACGAGAUGGGUUCGAAGCAUGCCAUUUAGUUCAUAUGAUUAGGGAUCUCAUCUUAUAGGUCGGAUUUUCUUGAUUCAAGUGUCUUGGGUAUGUUGACCCUAUGUUUUUGCGAUAACGAAUUUCACUUGGUGUAGGUCAGAUUUCUCUGACUUGUACACCUUAAACAUAUUUUGUCCUACGUCUUUGUCAUGAUGAAUUUUUCUUGAUGUGGGUCGGGUUUUCCCAACAUAUACGUCUCGGGCGCAUUUGGUCUUGCGUCUCCACUAUAGCAGAUUUCUUUUUACACGGGUCGAGUUUCUGGCUUAUGUGUCUCGAGUGUAUUUGGUUUUGUGCCUUGUUAUAGUGGAUUUUGGGUUGAGUUUUCUCGACUCACGUAUCUCGAACGCUUUUGUGGCUAUGUUGCCAUGACGAAUUUACCAAAACCCAACUCAUGUAUCUUUGGCCCAUUUAUGUCUGUGCUUUUGCCAUAGCAGAUUUUUCUUUGGUACGGAUCAAGUUUUCCUAAUUCACAAGUCUCAAGCCCAUUUGGGCCUAUGCUAUCGUCAUAGUGGAUUUUUCUUCACGGGUUUUCUUGAGACAUCAUCAUAGAAACAAUCACUAGUAGCAACAUCAAGCCGCUAUUACCUAGUAGAGCAUCGCAUGCAGUAGCCUCUCCUAUGCUGAUGACAAGCUCCGGAGCUUCUGACGCCUUGUGAGCCAUUGUUGCUUCCACGAUGGUGUUCCUUCCCGCUAUUGAUAGAUAUAUUAGUAUUUUUAAACUUAACGUCUGUUAAUUAUAGGGGUUAAAAUGAACUUUAAUUAUAAAUUAUAUAUGUUAUUAUAUUAAUGAUUUAUUAUGAGUCAGCAUACAAUGUAAAUAGAGUCUAACGUCUAUUAACUUAGAUUUAAUAAAAAAUACUUAUAUGUUAUAUUUUUAAAAAUAUAUGAGUUAUUUUAGACAUGAAUAAACUAUAAAAGCUUAAGAGACCUAUAACCAAAAUCAAAGGAGUUAAAUUGGAUCUUAACUUAAAUAUCUAACUUAUCAACUCAGUACAAAUCACGGUCGAGAAUUAGUGCAGGAGUAUUACACAUCCCCUCACCCUUCAUCCACAAUUUUCUCAUUAUUCCUGCUAGAAAUAUGCCAGUUGAUUGGGUUGUAAUUUUUAAGGUCUCAUAGGCCUUUUUGUUAAAUGUCAUGAAUGAAAAACUUGUCUGUCCUUAACUGAGUGAUAUCAGACUACAACUACAACAGGACAAAUAUAAUCUGUUCUGCAACAAUGUUGGCUGUUAUUCUCUAUCCACACAUCCAACCUAAGCUCCAAGAUGUCUGAGAACAAUCAUCAAUCUAGGAGUGACACUACAGAAGAAAUCACUAUAGAGAGCUUGCAGGGGCCUAAUCAGGUGGGGAAAUCUCCCGCAGAAGUACAGUGAAGGAUGAAUGUGUCAUUAAAUGCUACCACAGACUGCCCAAGGAAGCCAAAAACAUUCAUCACUGUCAUCCCUGUGCACAUUAUUUUCUUCUAUAAGAAUAGGAUGACAUUUAUGUGCAUCACCAGAUAUCUGAUUAAAAAUUGAUAUAAUUUUCUGCAAGGAAGGACCUUUUAUUAGAUGAUGAUAUGAAGACCAGAAGCCUGUUUCUUUCUGCUCAUCAACAGCUGAAACUUAUACACUGAAAGACAAAUUAUCAAGGGAAUAUAGACACCACUAUUAUAGAACAACAGAUCAUUUUUAAAAAGUCUGAUCUAAGAUGUAACUCAAACUUUUUGAAUGACAAAAUUAUCGUUAGGACAACAAACUUAUUAACUCGAUGAGAUUAAUUUAGUAAGUCUAAACAAAUAACGCGAGAUUAAUAUAACUUGGAAUCAAACAGUUGUAUGAUGUAUGUAAAGUUCCUACUUCUUGUAACAAUCUAGUCUGAUGAGCAUUAACUUGACGAAUCUAAACACAUUGAUCUAAAAUGUUUAAACAUAAAUCAAUGAUAGUAGAUCCAUUUAAUCCUAUAACAUUCAACUCAAAUCUUCUUCUGCCUCCAAUUCGGGAUUAAUUUUGGGUGUUACAAAAAAUAAAGUAAAGAAGGAAGAAAUAUCACUCUGGAAAGUAGUAAUUAACAUGAUGUAAGAGAAAAAUGCAAGGUAAAUCUUAACUCUAAAUGGCAUCUUAAUUGUUCCUUUUCAAGAGACUUCUUUUAGAAAAAUAGACACAAUUGUAGAAAAGCAAUUAACUGUAGUAGCAGAAGAAGUAAAAGACUUUCAGAUGCCACAACAAGCCAGUAGCUUUCUCCAAACAGAAAAGCAUAUCUUACAGUAGUAAUAAUUUGUGUCCAUAUUUUACUUGGCUCAAUAACACAAGAUAAACACACACUAUAAGGAUAAAAAAAUUACAUUUUUUAUCGUGUGCCAAAUCUAGAAACUGCUAAGUGCAAAAUGCAAAGUGCAAUCUAUAAAAACCCCAAGAGAGAAUGUAUUAUGCACACACAUCCAAAGUCCACAAUCAAGUUCAUUGAAAUAGGAUUUAGCAUCUGUAACAUUUCAAAAAUUGCUCAAAGUUUAUCAACCAGUCAGACCCAUGCCCUGGUGUGAAACAAAACUAAGCAUGCCAAGUACAGUGUACAUUAGAAGCAAACUAAGUUGUCACUAUCCACUGAAAAAACUAAGAUAGGCAAAGAAGAAAAAAGAUUUGUCUAUUUUCACAGGCUCCUCAGUUGAACAUGGACUUACUAAUACGUUUUCCAUGAGUAGAUUUUCUAGAAGAGUUCCAUCAAACAAUUUUAUCACCAUGAAUUGCAAAGUCUUUAUCUUUUCGACAUACACACAUUCAUCCUACAUUGCCAUCUCAGCUUGUAAUGUUGCAAGUUCAUCUUCUUCAGUAGUAUUUUUCUGGUCAGCAGGCCGAGUUGGAGAUGGAGAGGCAGGAACAUGCACUGGAAGAAGAGGAGCAGUUGUAGCUGGCUGAAGCAGCUGCUCUUCCAACUCAGCACCCUCCAAUUCUUCAAGUUCUGCUUCCAGUUCAUCCUGAAUCCCAAUAUGAUUUAUAAAUCAUCAUGCAGGACAGCAAAAAAAAGUUGUAAAAUGGACAUAGUUUGAAGGAUGAAUACUUCAUCAAAGUCAAUCGCAGGUCCAACUGGAGCAGAUAAUGCUUCCUGAAUCUGUUUCAUGUUUUCAGUCUGCUCAUUAAUUUCACUCAGUGUCUUGUCAACAUCGUCAAUAUUACUGUAACAGAAAGCAAUAUCAAUUAGCUACACAUUUCUUCUCAGAAUUAACAUGUCAGAAUCACAGAGCUACAGUUCGGAGCAGAACAAAUAGUGAUCAAAUUUAACACAGGAAAGGAGUCACAUAAAAACAUAUGCAACAGAUAAGACAUGCUCCAAUCUACCAAAGCAGUAAUGAUAGGAAUCUAUGCAGGAAAACAUAAUAUGACAUGUCCAGUCAACAUAUAUUCCAGGUAAACAUCAUAUGCACUCACGUUGCCUUCUGCAGAGCCUUCAGAGCUGCAGUUCCAACUCUCAUCGCAUCAACAGUCUCCGUUGUAGCUUUUGCACCUUCCAACAUUAUCAUCUGACAAAAAUCAAACCCACAAAAACAAACUAUCAUAAACUUUGCUUGUGAGACACUCAGGAAAUGCCAUCUUUAAUUGGAAAAAAGAACAACCUGAUCAUGAAUCCGCAACUGGAAGUUCCCAAGCUGCUCAACUUCUUGUUCAUAUAGCCUUUUCCUUUUCAAGCAUUGUAUAGCAGCUACGAUGUACAAAAUAAAGAUUUUCAACAAUUAUGUUUACAAACAUAUGAUUGUUUUUACAAGUUAUUCUCUAAAUAUAUAACAAAAAUGUAUUAUGAAAUACAUCAACACUGCUAAAAAUUGAUGAGAAGAUGCAUGUGCGGUAGCUAAAUAACAUAUAAAAAAAAUCUUUCAUAGGAAACUUCUGGAAGACACACGAGCUCAUUUACAUCAACUUUCCAUUGAUAAAUUCAGAAUAUAAUAAAUAGCAAUCGGGUUACAGUACAAAUGAAAAUAUCAAAACUGAAUCAAGUCUAAAUCAUCAAGAUGAUAUAGAACCACACCUCUAGAAGUUCAAAGCAUGCGCUGCAUGUAUUGAUCAAUAUAAUACUUUUUCAACUCAUACAAAAAAGAUACCUAUCAGACCUUGACGAAUGGAAGCAACAUAAAAAUGGUCAGAUAGUAACACACCCAGUUUCACAAAACAAUGUCUAUAACAUCAGUUAUGUAACAAAAAUUAACUUUAAGACUAGUAGCAAAGCAGCAGUAAUAUGCAUGAAGAUGUACACAUAAUAUCCUGGAAAUAACUUAAGAGACAACUUUUGAUCUCUAAGCAACAUUUCCAUAAUGGUUCUGGUUUCAAGGAAAGCCAUAACUAGAUAGAUCAUUCUUCCAAUUUAGCACCAUUAGAAUCAUGGACAACUAACAUAAGUAAGUAACCCACAUGUGAAAUCCAAUAGCAAGUUGUAAUAGCUACCUCUCUUGUUCUUUACUUUGGUAAAUUCCUUGGCCUUCUCAACCUCAGUGGCCAUCUUCUUCAGAAGAACUUUCUCUUUUUUCUCUAGCAUCUCAAGUGUCUGAAUUAUGUAUAACACCAGGAAGGAAGAGGUCAUGUAUCAGAGCAACUAAAAUAAUUUAUAUUUUACAAGUCACAAUAAAUAACCAAAUCUGGAAGGGAAAAUGCAUAAACUCAUGCAAAUUGAUGUGACAAACUAUCUCUUCUUGUUUUAUGCAUCUAACAUACAAAUCUGUGAAUAUAACAAAGUUGAAAACACAAAAUGAUGGAACUUUUACAUUGGAUUGCUCAAACUAGUGUUAUUAGCAAAACGUACCCCUAACUCCUUUUCAUCCUACAGUCAUGCUUCAUGCACUAUAAUGCUACUGCAUUUGUAGAUGUCAUGUUCAAUAAAUAGCAUAGUUCGCUGAUUAAAUUUGUAUUGCUAUCUUGUAGCACAAGAUUAAAAUAAAAGAAUAUUCUGAAGAACUGCUCUCUUGUCACACACGCUUAAAAUAAAACACAAAUAACGAAGAUAUUCAAAGCCAACAACAAAAGUUCAAACUUUUCCAGCAAGCCUUCUCUUGCAAGUUCAUACUAAGAAAUUAUAACAGGAUGAUUAAAGGAUUAAUAGAGCAUCCCAAGCGCUGAUGAAUCAGCCACAAACACAGGUUUGGCCAGUGUAGCCCUCAUGAGCAGGAAAGUGGGACAUCGACCAUCUCCUUUUGCCUUCUAGUUUAUGUAAUAACAAGCCUCCCUUCUCCUUUCAGUAGCUAAAAGAAAAUCUUUCUUCUUUCUAAUUCAUCACAGCUUCAGUUGUUUCUUCUUCUUGGAAGGAUCCUUGACUUGCCAGUGAAUACAUCUUUCUAAUUUAUAGGAUAUGAUUAGGGUUGCUUCUAAUUCUUUUUCAUUUAUCUGCAUCAAUCCUUACUCCCAUUCAACAUGGCACAGUUUAUUAUCUACUACGAAAAAUCUACCCACGGAUGAAAUCCAACAAAAUGACAUAUUACAUGAAGUUAAAUCCACCAUCUAGCGAGCAUCACUCUUCAAACAAAUAAUCAUCAAUGACCAUCCAUGAAGGGCAAAUUAAAAGUACCUCAUUCAGUUUAUCCAGCGUAGCCAACGCAUUCGGCUGCUCCUUGGGCUUUCCAAAUAGCCUACCAAGCAUCGUCUACUUCCUCCAGAAAACCUACAAUCUGUGGAAAAGACGAAAAAUUUGCAGCUUCAGCCCUCAAUUUCCCUCCCCAAAGAUCUCACUUUGAGCGAUUCGAGAGACAGUACCGCGAUAAAUCUUCUGCCGGUCGACACGAAUCGCAUAAAAACGCUGUGUCGGAGCUGCUUCGUCUCCGAUCAUGGUUGGUUGAUGGUAUGACCAUUAGGGAAGACCGGCCAACUACUUAUCAACUCGCGUGAAGACCACCAAAUAUUAACUUUUCCUUUACCUUCCAUUAUAUAUUACCACUGCAAUGUAUUUUAUUUGGGAGGGUAAAAAAAAUAGAAGUUAUUUAUUUAGGACAAAUAAUACCUUCUUUGGUUUAUUAUUUGGCUUGGUGAUUUAUCUAGAAAAAAAUUGUAUAUUUUCAGCUUUUAAACACUUAAAAUAUCCUUAAAAAUAUAUAAUUAAUAUUUUUAUUUAUUUAUUUAUUAGUAAAUGAUAAGCGAUAAAUGUGAAUCUUAUGAUGAUUUGAUAAAGUAGCUAAGUUAGUCAACAUCUUAUUAUCUUCCUUCUAUAUAUGUUGACUAGCUUUAACUGAUAGAAUUUUUGACGAUUAUUAUAAGAUUUCGUGUUUGAAUCCUAUUUUUAUCAUUUAUCCUUGUAAUAAAAAAAAAUAACAUCUUCGAAAUAAAUUUUUGAACCAUAACUCUCAUUUUUGAACCUUAAUAACUAUCACACCGAUAUUUAAGAUUAUUUAUUUGAUCUUUAUCCACUUUAGCUUCUAGAUUGAUUCAAGAAAAGGGUGAAUUUUAGUUUUUUGGAGAUGUAAUUAAAAUUCUAAAACAAAAAUAACUUGGUGUAGAUAUAAGCUAUGUACGUUGCUUACAAGUUUAUUACUAGAUUUGAUUCUUUUUAUUGCUUUAGAUAUAAAUGAUAUAAUUAUUAUUAUUAUUUUUAAUCUAUUAUAAUAUGUUAUUUAUAAUUUUAUCAUUUUCUUUAUAACUUUAUUUAUAAUUUAUCUAAGAACCCUCCAUCUUAAUCCUUUGAAUUUGUGGUAAUUGAGAAAAUUAUCAAAAAUAACUUUAAGGUGAUCAUUAAGAUUAAACCCAUUAAAAGGAGUCUCAAAACCAUUCACUUUGAUAAUUUGCAUCACCCAAACAAUUUGGGAUAAGUUUCUUUCUCUUUUGUAUGAAAACAUUUUUUUAUUUAUUUCAUUCCCAAAUAACCCAAUUCAUUGUGUAGGUACAAAGCAAAAGGGAACAUGUGAUCAAGAUAGAUUUCUUAUCUCUAUGCCAUACUGAUCACACACCUCUCAUUUGAUUCUUGAUACAUCAGUCCAUCUCUGCUGAAUUACCAAUUAGGACUAGUCAUGAUGAAGCAGGUGCAUCAGUGAUCUAAAGCAGAGUGCAAUUAGGACUAGCCAUUCUCUUUCUAUGUAUUCUUCUGGGAAACCUCUAGGUCCUUGCAAUUAGAAUGGGUAUUUGCAUUACCUUGCAUGCUUUCCUUCCUGUGAUUUGUUUCUUCGUAUAUAACUGCAAAAAAGUAUGAACAAACAGCUGAUCUGAUCAGAGCAAGCAAACUUUUGAAUAGUAUGGUGGUAUAUUUUUGUGAUAGUUCAUUGUUGAGAAAUGCAACCAGUUGAAGACUGAUACAAUCUUAACAAUUUUCUUGGAGAAUACGAGAGAGGAUCCCCUCACAACACCUAUAAUUACUCCAACUUCUUCAGCAAAAGGAUCAGAAAGAACAAGUAGGCCUCGGCGAUGUUAGAAGUUGUUAGAAGUUUCUGGAACAGCCAUCGAAUGCUAGGGAAUCAGAGCACCUUCAAUAGCUGAACCUCAAAAACCAGUGGCUCAUUCGCAUGAGAAAGCAGACUCCUCCGCGGACCAAACUGCAACAUGAAAUAUGUAUGAUUAUUAAAGAAUAAUGAUUGGCAUCUGAGAAAAAGUGUUUUCUGUGAUUCAGUUGGUUACAGAUUAAUGACUUAAUCCUUAAAUCUUAUAUAGUCCAUGCCUACAUAGAUGUGAAGCUACUUUAACUAGUCAAGAGAAGACAAAGGAGAAAACAUACCUCAUCUGGGAUCGGUUUCAGGUUCUCAUUGACAUAUCCCACAUCAGGAGGGAUUAGAGCUCUCCGCUUUCCUGAAAAAAAAAAAACUCCACAUAAAUUUCAACAUAGCAAAAAGACAGACCAGACUGAUUUAGAGAAAAGGUCUAGAAAAUUCCACAAGUACAGUUGUAUGUUUACUAUACUAUUGAUCAAGGACAGACAACAUUUUGUAUUGUGCAAUUGAGCCAUAAUCUUUGUCAACGUCACCCAAAGUUUAAAAAUCCAUUCCUAUAUAUCGUAAGAGCAGUUUUCAGUAGAUGAAUACUGCAAUCUGCAACCCAUGUUUGUAUGCACGUCACAACAGUUGUCUUUGUGUCCCUGUAGGCCUUGCCCAAGGCCACUCAUGUUAUGAGGGUAGGGAUAAGGUUUGCACUUUCACUUCAAGGAUCAUGAGACCAUUCAAUUGGGAUAUACAACAUAAUCAAGUAAAUAUCUUUAUCAUAAUUCAAAAUAUGAAUUGCUCACCUCCAGCCUUCAUGCCAACUAUAACAUCUUUGAGGCCUUGUAUAAUCUGUACAGACGGUGAGAGAUACCAUUCUUUCACAGAAUCAAAUAAUAGAUUUACACAUGUAAAUACUAAUGAAAACGAUUUAAAAGUAAGUGUAAAUCAUACCUAUAGUAAUCUCAUUUCAAGAAAAACAAUUGGUAUGACACUCAAGGAAAUUAACCUGUUUUUCAUCGAGAGGAAGCACCACAGGUCUGCUCUCCCCACUAAAUUGGUCCACCGUGCUACAGAUUGGUUUUAGACAGAGUAUUAGAUUGAAUGUACACAUAGACAUGCAAACUGAUAUAUUAAUAUUCCAUUGCAAAAGCAUUACAAAUUCAAUAGGCACUUUGAUUUAAAUUAGGUAAGAAAGAUGAAAAAUAUAAGGUUAAAUAAUGAGGCAUGGAGGAACAGUGACAUCCCCCAUUUCUAGAUUCUUGGGAUACUGGAAAGUGUAAACCAUGGUUCUCUAGACUGGCAUGUACUAGAUGAUACAUAUCGGUCUGAUAGCUUGUCAGGUUGGUGACGCAGACAGACAAAUGCCUCCCAAACACCGUGGAUACUCAAAUUACAAAAAAAAUGCAUGGCACGUUCUGGGUAUAGAGACACUGGACUUGUACUGGUCUGGCCGGGGGCCAGAACGGAUCCAAUCCCCAAAUUGUCAAACCAUACUGUAAAAAUGAAUUUUCAACUUGAAAGAAAUGUCUUCAAGAAGAAGGGAGAAUGACCUAAAAAAGCCUCCCACUUCUCUCUCCUGUCUUUUACAAACUGCAAAUGAGGAUAUCUUAAAGACCGCCUAUGAGAACAACAAAAGAUCCAACACUAUCAAGUUCUACAAAAUUUCGUGUCUGCUAACUGAGAUAGGAUAGCAAUGUUGGUUUAACCUUGUGCUAAAAUGUAUAUGUUCAUGAUCCUACGAGUAGAUUAAAAAACAAACAGCUAAUUCAAAUAUAUAGUUUCAAUACCAUUGUAAACCGAGCACACAGCACUGAUUCAUUCUGAUACUAUUAUCUGUAUACCAGUAUCAAUUUGUUGAUCGACAUUAACACAACAGUCAAUUAUUCCUAUAUCUCGUAUUGGUGCACUGAGGCAUACAAUACACACUAGUAAAUGUUUACCAGUCAGAUAACUAUUCUGUUUAUUGUUCCAAUUACUAUCUACCGGAUAAUUUUCAGAGAAUGAUCAAUAUUUAAGACCUUAUAAAAAACCCAUUGGACCUGGAAAAUGUGCCAUAGUAAGUAGAAUAAUCAAUCCAAUAUUUACCUAUGGACGAAAUAUCCGUUGGAACGUCGGCAAACAUAGUUGAAUUCAACCAGAUCUCCUUCAUGCGCUUCUGGUCCUUCCCCUUCAAUGAUAUCUAUAAAUGGAGAAAAAAACAUUAGUAGGCACAAACUACAAAAAGAGAUGAUCUGAUGCUGAUAACAAUCCAGAAGCUACACACACACAAUUAUGUGGAAAUACUACCUUGAAUUUUCACACCACCAUCUAGCUUCCGAUACCUGGAUACUUCAGAAUAAGAUAUAUAUAAUCAGUUUAACGAAGUCAGAAAUCACAAUUAAUAAACAAAUAGUUUACUGUUUUACCUGAGUAUUAAAGUAUAAAAAUGAAGAAUCAUAUGAUCCUUGACAUAUGAAUUCACUGGAAUAAUAUUCCGAAUGCUACCUAAUAUUACCUGAUUGUCUCAGAAUCCUCUGCGUCUUUUGGUGGUAAAGAAAAAGCAGGAUUAGCAUAAACCAGAACACCAAUUCCAACAAAUGUCCUCCUUGAUAUUCUAUAUGAUGUCUGAGGGAUGAGACCUCCAUAUGAGUUUUUCACCCAAAUUGCUCUUGCAUCACAUCUGUCCAUAUAUCAUUUUAACACAUGAUUGAAUGAAGAGUACAUACAUUUUAUACAAUUGACAGUUAAGAUUGCAUAAACCAUUUCCAAAGCAGCCCUAAUUUCAUAAGUUUUAAAGACAUAGUAAGUUGAAUCGCUUGAUCAAAUUGCAGUCAUGACCAGUGAAUCAGCCUUUUUUAUAUUAGUAUCUGUGAACCACCCAGCAAUCCUCCCAGAUUUCUGAGAAGCAAUAAUGACCAGAAACAAAGGGAAGUUGCAAAUAAAUUAACUUCAGUUAAUAUAUGCCUUGUAAUCAGAAUGACGAUUGUAUAAAUUAUUGAGUUUGAGAUUACUCACUAUCACAAGUGGAAGUUCCAGUGAAUGUAGAAGCAUACGUAAUCAGAAAGGCUAGGAAAUGCCAAAAAGCUACAGAAAAACACAUAGCAAUGAGUAAACGAUACUACCACCUAAAUAUCUGAAACUUUCACCAGAGUAAACUUCCUCCUGCUACUCCUAAGAGAAAUUGGCCAUGGUCCUAGAGCUCCAACUUCUUCUAUGGUUUGAUCCAACAUCUCACACUUAUUCGAGUGCCAUUGUUGAGUACGUACUAGCAAGUGGAUAGUCUAUAUGAGAAAUGGAAUGACCAUGAGACACAUGACUUAUUGCGUUAAUCUUUUGGGUCAAUGGUGUUCCUUAGAUGUGUAGAAGCUCUAUUCUAUUACUUCGUUUAUGCUCGGAUAUUCACCAACAAGUGGUAUCAGAAACCAUGAUUGAGUUGGGCAAACAAGAGGAGCUACCUAGAUAUGCCGGCUUAAGAUGAUUUAAGUCAAAUGAUGUGGUUGUUGCUGUCAAGUAGGAAGACGAAGAUGGCCAGUCUCAAGAGACCUAAGGUGUGAUGCAAGUGUAAAGUGUGAUGUAUAUGUAGCAAGGUGAUAAUUUGGCUACUCUAACAGCAAUGAUUUGUGAUGCUGAGGUAUAGGUGUGAGGUUUGGUGCAUGGAUGAAUCGAGGUUGCAUUACCAAGUUGUUGGCAAUGUGAUUGAAUUGAUAGCAUGUGAUGUAUAAGAAGCUUUGAUCAAAGACUCACAAGCGAAAGGGAAGAUGGAUGGAUAUUCAAUUGUUGAUGGAUAGAGCCACAUAUGGAGAAGAGUUCACCAGGGGAGAGGGGUGAAUCUGGUUAUUCAUUGAUGAGUGGAUUGUCGAGUGGGUUAUUCCCAUAUGGUAUAGUUAAGUUGCAAAAGAUGGCAAAAGGACAUAUGACAUAUGAAGGUACUGUGCUUGGAUUGGGUAGUGUUUCUCAUGUUUAUCCCAUUCAUCCCAAACCUAUUCAACUAAAAGAUACCCCCUAAACCAUUCCAAAUAACUAACAGAACCAAUUACCAGGAAGCCAAAAAAGGCAAUCCAUCUGAAAUGACCUCUAAAUCUUCAAACCAAAACUUGUUGGGCUCGCUAGCCAUAUUGGAAUGGGCAUCCACGACUCAAACACAUCAGAGAAUUCCCAAAGUUCACUGUAUUUGGAUGAACCUUUUCCAGCAUAAACAUGAUGAAUUACUUGAUGCGUUCGUGUAACACCAGUGCAUAGCAAAGCGAAAAGAAGAGAGAGACCCAAAGAAAGAUCCCCAAUUUCAAGCCCAGCUCUCGGCAUCGUACCCAAAGGUCGACAGCACAAAGACUUAAAGAAAGAAAGGGAACGAGCAACAGCUGAGCAAGAAAAGGGAGACAUUCAGGACGAGAAGGAAGAAUCGAGCGGCGGGAAAUCCGACCUUGGAGUAAGAGACGUGAAGCUCAUCAUCAUGGAGGCCGGCAUCCAAAGCGGGCAAGCUUUCAUUUUUUUCCUCGGGUUUCUCCUAAUUUUUCUGCUCCCUGCAACCACCAAGUGGCAGAAGAAGAACACGGGACUCGUCCCAAAAGAUAGUAUUGCAUAGGACACCCUAUUUUUCUCUUUUGUCUUUUUUUCUUUUUUAUUUCUCUGGAUUUUUCGUUAAGCUUCCUAUACCGUAAAUAUAAAUUAAUGGGUGAAUUUUUAAAAAAAUAUUUACAUUUGUAAAUUUUGUUCAGAGCACCCAACUUUAAAAUAAUUCUUAUAAAUUAAUUUUUAUAAAUAAUUAUUUUUAUCAUUGACCUUGUUGGAGCCAUCCUCGUCUCUAUCCUGUGUUACCUUUGUCUUACUUGCUCAUGGCUUGUAACUCUAUCGUGAGGAACGAGGAGUACGAGACCCUGAUAACCCUAUCUUCAUCGACCCUGUCAGUCUCAUCCUGCAUGUCUCGUUCGUAACUCUUAUGUAAGAAAAUAUAAGACACACAGGCUAUUGUUAUCUUUGCUGACUUCACUGAUCCUCGUUGAAUUUAUUGUUCAUAACCCUUGUGUAAGGAAAGAAUGGUGGUUUUUGUCGGUCCCAUGGUUGUGCAUCUUGCUGAUAGACAUUAUGCGAGGAACACCUAAUUUUUUUAUUUUUUAUUUUUUAUUUAUCUUGAUAUACUUAGUCAAGCUUCGUAUAUCAUAAAUUAUUAUACAAAUAUAAUCAGUUUCAAUCCUAUUGGGUCGGAUCCGACCGACUUCAAAUUAGAAUUCCGGUCAGCUUCAUAAGACACCGCUGCACAUUAUAAUCACCGGUUCGCCAUCUUAUGUCCCAAACCUUCGCCAUGGUCUAAAGCGCAGCAAGUCUCUACAUGCCGCCGUCUUCGGUGUUUCGUUUCCCAUGCCAUGGAUUUCCGUUUCCCCUUCCGCAGCAUCCCGCUCCUCCCGUGCCCGCCGUCGCACCGUCACUCGCCCACCUGCCCUUCGCGGCCACCGCCCGUCCACCACGUCCCCCUCUGCCCAGAAGACCCUGUCUUCCUCCGACGGUAAGCUCUCCGCCUUCUGCGCCGCCGUCGCCGAGUCCGCCCGGCGCCGCAUCGCCGCGCCUCUGCUCUCACCCGGCUCCAGCCCCUCCCGUCCCAGCCCAUCCGCCUACAACGCUCUCAUGAAAUCCUUCUCCCGCUGCGGCGACGCCGACGAGGUCCUCCGCCUCUUUCACGAGCUCAGGCGCUCGCACCGCACUCCGAACGCCCUCUGCUACAAUACCCUACUCAACUCCCUCGUUGUCGCCAACCGCCACGGCCAUGCCGAAGCCUUGUUCGACGAAAUGAUAGCAUCAGGUGUCGCCCCUACCACUUCCUCCUACACCAUUCUUAUAAAGUUGUUGUCUUUCUACCCGAACCUCAUCGAUUCGGCAUACGAGGUCAUCCGCUUCAUGGUCCGGUCCGGCUGCCAACCGGACGCAAUCACCUACUCGACCCUCGUAGCAGGGCUCUGCCGAGCAGGGAGAAUAGAGGAGGCUUGGGGUGUUUUGGAUCAAAUGAUGGAGGACAAGUUGCUGCCGACCGUCCAAUCUUACACUUGUAUCGUUCAGUGUUAUUGCUCGGAAGGUAGGAUCGAGGAGGCCAAAAGACUAGUUGGUGUGAUGGAGAGUGUUGGAUGUCAGCCAGACGUUGUAACUUAUAGUGUCUUAAUUGGGGCAUUGUGCCAGGCUGGGAAAUUUGGCGAGGUUGAGAAGGUUUUGAAGGAGAGCGAGGAGAAAGGAUGGAAGCCAAAUGAGUUUACCUAUAAUAUCUAUAUGAAUGGUCUUUGUAAGGCAGGUAAAUUUGACGAAGCAUUUCAGCUGUUAGAAGUCAUGCGGGCAAGUGGAUUGCAUCCUACAAUAGAUACUCUCAACAUACUUUUUGAUUGUCUCUGCCAAGAUUCUAAGGUUUGGGAGGCAAAAUGUUUGUUGGAGAGGAGCUCUGAAUUAGAAUGGGAUGUAGAUGUCUUCUUCUAUAACACCUUGAUGAGUAGGUUUUUCGAGAUAGGUGAGUUGGGUACUGUUCUGAAGCUGUUGAGCGAGAUGUUAAAGAAGGGGAUUGAUCCUGACACUUGUACAUUUACCAUUGUGAUCCGAAGCCUUUGCAAAGCUGGGAUGCUUCAGCAAGUUAAAUGCAUUAUCAACAAUAAGGGUUUUGUUGCUGAUGUUGUCGCCUUUAACACUGUGUUACAUGAGUUUUACAUGUUGGAAGAGUUAAAUGAUGUGCGGAAAGUUUAUUCAUAUAUGAUAGCUGAAAAUGUUACUCCAAAUAAGUUCACAUACUGCAUCAUGAUUGAUACUCUCUGCAGUGAGGGGAACUAUUUGGAUGCUAUUGAUCUCCUUCUUGGAUCUUUGAGAUUUGGGUUCUUUCCUGACCUGGUUAUUCGUCUAAAUAACUGGCUGGUGAAGUCUGGAAAGCUGAGAGAAAUUUUAAACCUCGCUGAAGAAAUAUUGAGCAGAGGUCUAGUUAUAAAUGUUUCUAUAAUCACUUCGCUGGUCAGGGUAUUUUGCAGGGAGGGUUAUUGCAAAAGCAACAAUGUUUACAGAGUUUGUCUAGUACUUGACAAAGUGCUGGGGAUGAGAUAGUUCAUCUCAGGACUAUAUCACACAUUUUUUAUGAGUUUGCCUCAUUGGACAUCAUUAGCUUACUGAAGGUACUGUCUUUCUGAAUUGCAGAGCUCAUGAUAUUGGACUUUGCUGUCUCUUUUAUAACUUCAAUUGAUUUUAGCACCUUUCUUCAUUCAAUAUUUUGUUUUAUCUUGUAAAUGAUUACACACUAAUAUGAUGGAUUGAUCUAUUUUUUCAGGAUCAUACACUUUGCCUCAGUUUCUGUGUAUUAGGUCGAGUAUAUAGAAAAAUAUAAUGUCUCAUGGGAAAUUAAGAUACAGAAUUAAAAACGUAAUUUAAUCGUUUGUUUCGUCAAAUAACCCAUUCACCCUAGAUGAUUUUAUAUUAUUAGCUACUCUUUAGUUACAGCAUCGCCCUGCCUCAUUCAAGUUUUUGGUUUUUCUCUUUUAUCAGAAAUAGAAACCUACAGUGAGAAUACUUUUACAAGAGAAUAUCGUAGACAAAGUAUUUGAUGAUGUUGUAUAUGCCUUAGAGGCCAUAAUUUAAAGCCUUAAAAAUAGAGCAUAAGCUCCAUUGUUUUGAUUAAUAAAAGUCAUAUGUGCAUAAGAAAAGAUAUAGAUGAUAUGGAAAUCCCAGUGAGAUCUAGUACUUGGUUGGUAGUGCCUUAUCAGUUGGCACAAGUGCGCAAAUCUUAUGUUAGAGAGGUACAAGCACUUAACAUUAUUGUCUUGGUGGACAAAUGCCAAGGCCAAUUUUUGACCUAACUAGGUUGGCACAGUAUCAAGCCAUGCAUGAAAAGUAUUGGUAAGCCCCUGGGUCAGAAAAACAACAUACAUUAGGUAUUCAGAUGUAUUAUCAUAUUCUUUAGACACUUAUUGCUUAGCCUUAGAUCAAGAUGAGAAUCGUUACGAGUAAUUCAUAAACAAGGUAGGAAUUUGGUAUAUUUUCUCAAUUAUGAUCUUAGCUCUCGAUGUACAUCAUCCUGUUUUGUUUUGUUCUAUUCUGUUCUGUUCUAUCAUUGUCAUAUAUCACUCUUUCUUAUACCUUUAAUAACACAUGAUCUUCUUGUAUUUUUUAAAUAAAAAAUGCAGGUACAAGCUUGACUUGGACUUCAUACUAAUUACUGAAAUGUUUGUUACAAGAGAAUUUUCAGGAUUCUCAGCUUCAGGGGGUUUUUGAGAUACAUAUUUCUUCUAGAAAUAAAGGCUAGUUCUCAAUUAUUUGAGAAAUCUUUUUUUUUUUUUUUUGUAUCUAUCCUUAUUUUGAAACAAAAUUUCUCAUUUUAUCAUCUUUCUUGUUUGUUAGAGUAUUAAUCCUGUUUAGUGUUUGCAGGGUAUAUAUGAUGACAUUGUGGAUUCCUCUUUUGUUAAAUUGAUUUUGCUACUGUUAAGAGGAGGUAAUCUAUUAUUUCCUCAGUUUUUCUUUUUGAGGAUGCUUCCAGCAACAAUGUUCCAAUUCAAAUGCAGUCAUCAUCCAUUCUGCGGCUACCUUCUGCAGGAAUAUGUGCCUUCUUAUACAAGUUCUAUUUUCCUUGCGCAGGAGAUAAUGGACUAUUGAACCAAGAGGUUCGAUCUGCUGCAGUACAAGUCUUGGUACUGAUCAUACUUUCCAUGUAAUCCAUGACCAGAAGAUCCUCAGUUUCCUAUCUUUUAUAUUUGGAAUGGUGUCUUCCUGAAUAGGUAACUGAACUGGCAUUCUCAGAGUGUGACCUGAUUUUUUGCUGCAAGUUUUUAAGCAUAUGUUAAAAUGAUGAUUAUUAUGAUUAUGAUUAUUAUUGUUAUUGUUUAUUAUUAUUAUAUCUGAAAUUAGAUGGUCAUGCUAGAAUAUAUAUAUAUAUAUAAGUAUGUAACACUGUGAAUUGGAUGAUUUUAAAUAAUUGGAAAAGUGAUUUACUAAUAUUUUUAGUACCUGUGGUUUGCAUGCUUCAUGAAGUGUAUUGGAUGAUAAAUAGUUUUUUUUUUAAAUUAAAUUGCUUCAGCUGGCGGUGUCAAUUAUUACACAGUACUGUAUUCCUUAAGAGUCACCAAAGCAGAUGAUAGGUAAUAUUAUCACUGCUGUUAUAAAAUACACAUUAAUCAAUCAAUUGCUUUUUUGCCUCCAUAAAGACUGUUUGUACCUCUGCAGUUCACUUGAACUAUAAUCAUAUUUCAGGCUGCAUGGAAGAAUGAUCAAAGCAGCAUCAAUCCGAAAAAACUGUGGAUUUAUUGUAUGAUACUGCUCUGAUUUCUCGUGGAUUCUCUCUGUAAGUCAUCUUGGCUUCCUCACAUUUUUUGUUUUCAUAAAAUUACUGCUUCUUUUUGCUUGUUCCUAACGAUCAGAUUUGAUUUGGCCUGACAACCCUGCUGAAUUGGGAAACAAGAUAUAUGAGAUGAUGGUGAUCAAUCUCAGCGGAAGAUCAGGAGAUCAGAAUCAGAAUUAAGUGGUAGAAGGAGUUGACCAGGAGGCAAGAAGCUCUGAAUCUGGAUCUUCAGAGGUGACAGUGGUGGAUGUGGUUUGAACCAUCGGAAGUGAGGAUGGAGGAUGAUCCAUGGAACGAUUAAGCAUCUUCUAGUAGGGAAUUAAAUUUUUGAGGAUUUGGUUAAAGGAGUUGACAAGGGAUUUUUAUGUGUAGGAUGAGGGCAUCAAUGUAGUCAGUAAGAUGAAUUCGACAGGUGACAUUUAUGAGAAGGAUGCAGCCGCUCUUGUGCUGCAUGUAUUCAUAUUGUAGCCUACAGCUAUUUACAUCUCAAAACAUUAGAUAAUCAUUUUGGAAGAAAAUGGUGAUGGCAUCUUCCAGGAAUCUGACCUUGUUAUUACAAUUUUGAGUCCUCUGCUUCAUUGCAUCAUACUGAUAACUACUAACACCAUGUAUGACAAAUGUCUGGUGUGAUCCAAAGGCUUCUCACUGAGUUACAUGUCAGUGAGUUAACAGUAAAAUAGAUGUAUUCUUUUUUACUAUGAACUUUGUAGAUAAUAAAAUUCAGGUGGGAAAUAUACAUAGCUGAUGUUGAUUUGUGGUUGCUUAAUCAGUUUAGGAGUUUGAUGCCUUGAGAUAACAAGAAAAUCUUCAGAGGAUUUGACACUGAGAGUUGAAUCAACUCUGACCCCAUUUCAGAAUCUGGAAUAUGAAUAUAUAUAUAUAUAUAUAUAUAUAUAUAUAUACAACUUUUGAAAAUGUGCUAUAUUGGCAUUCUUUAAAAGGUUGUCUUCAAACAAUCUUGACCUGAGGGUGUGUUGGGUGUUGGGAAGAUCCCAGUGUAACUUGAUUCAACUGCAGACAGAUGAGACCUCAAACUGGUCAAAAAUCUCCACUGUUGCAAGUCUAUUGACAAUGCAAAGUUUUUGGAUACAACUUUUUAACUUGUACUAGAAGUGGCACUUGCAUGUUAAUAUGGAUCUUCUAUGGUUCUCUAUGAUACCUCAACUCAACUAGCUAAAGUUGCAUCUUCCUCAACUUUUUCUGUUCUAUUUGUGAAUUGAGAAGCAGUUCUUUUAUUACUGCAACAUCCUGAUAUUUUCCUUAUUGAUGUAGUUCAUGUUAAUUGGUGAACAUCUCAGAUGAUAAAAGUGAACUUACACAUUUGUAUUAUUUCUUUCUUUUUGGAACAUCUGUAGUCUCAUCACUUUGUGCAUUUAGUUCAAUAAACUGAGUCAUGUUUGUAGUCAUAUGUUCGGUCUCAAUGGUCUUUAAUCUAAAACUUCUAUCUUCUAAAGUUUGUCUUUAUUACUCAAAUUCUAUCUAAACUUACAUCAAUCAGAUCAAAUAUGAUCAAUAAUAAAAGUUUCGAUAUCAUACCCCAGAUGAAUAAGCUAGAUGAUUUUGCUAGCACAUUGACGGUCAAUGUAAAACUAAAACAUUGCAAGGAUCGAUAUGCGAAAUGCGCUUAAGAAGAUUUUAAGCUUCUAACAGAAGAUUAAUAUUCUAUUUUGUAUGUAAAGAAUCAGUAAUAAGAAAAACAAAAGUAAUACAUAAGAUGCUGUUGUUCACAUAUGAACAUCUCUUUGCUCAAUAAAAAAUGAUACAUGGACAAUUCUGUUGGCUGCUUAUAGUUGGAUUAGGCAUCUCUUUUGGCAAUUAAUACUGAGCUUUUCUGGUAUCAUUCCACUGAUAAAAAUCUAUCAGCACUAAGGAUGAAACAAGUUCUUCCAAGAUGAGACACUUCAUUGGAUUGAAGCCUAUUGUUAUUUCCAGGCAUUUUCUCUUAACUGUAGGAGGUAACAUAUUGAGGAAUAUGUGAAGGUUAAUAGGUUAAUUUCUUCAUCUGUGAAAAUUAUAGCAAGCUAAUCAUACAUGCAUGAUUUACAAUUUUAUGAAACCAAGCUUUCAGUAGUUUUCUUUCAUUAAAGAGAAGGAACAUGGUGCAAGCAAUUAAUAUAUUUUUACUACUUUUGUCUUGUUCUUUAUCACAUCAAUCUUCAACUAGAUAAUGAAGUUAAAAAAAUACAGGAAAAGAACCUUAAUGCUUAAGAAUCAUGACAUCAGAUAAAUAAUUGUUCUGAUGUCUUAUGGAAAUUUAUCUCAUGUAAAUUAAAUUGUUUGGGAUGUAAGAACAAAUUGUAACAUUUCUACAACAAUAUAAUUUUCUAUCAGAUAGAGUUAUUACCUAUCUUGUUCAUGUCACCAUAGAAGACAAGCUUGAGAGUAUGGCAACAGGAAAGAUUUGUGAAGGACCAGAAACAAAAGCUCAUUAAUCCAAGCAUCAAAAUUUGGUUUACCUACAGACUGUGUAGGUCAAUGAACAAAGCUUUUAUGUAAUGGAAAACUCAUGCAGAUAGCAGAUGAAAGAUCUUUCUUUGGCGAUCUCAACUCAAAGUUUACACUCAAUUGGGCUUUUGCCGAGACAAAACUAAGAGGGAGUACAGAAGCAGAAAAGAGAAGGGAAAGAUCAACAGUAGGGCAACAACAUAAGUCAUCAAUGAUCACGGCUCUUGGCUGAGAGAACUUGGUGGGAUUGAUGGCUUUGGUGCAUCCCGGACCAAGGAGAAAGGCUUUGCUAUAAAGCUAGGCUUGCUAUCCCCAGCCAUUACGACCACGAACUUUGGCUCCAUGUCUAAAUGCACAAUCACAGGCUUCUCCGGUAGGCUCGGCGACCGCGAGUUCUGAUCUCGAGACGAUCUCCAGUGUGAGAUUGCUAGUAUGAUGAGAGCAGCUGCUAUAAGGAUCAUUGCUGCAGCAAGACCUCCAAAGAGGUAAGGAAUUGGAGUAUGCCACAGAUUGGAUGCACUCAUACUUGACAAGCUUGCAGGCCUCAUUCCUCUCCUUUGAUCUUAUCCUUCCACUUCCUUUCUGUAAGGUUUCUGGUGUAGACAUUAGAAGCUGAGAUGUGGGCUAUUUAUAGAUGACAGGUGGUGGUGGUGGUGGUGGUAGUGGUAGUGGUAGACACAGUGGAAACAAGUACUUUAGCAUGGAAUGGAUGCUUCCACUUAGUUCUUGUUUACAUUUUACCUCAACCUCCAACUAAUCCUUUUGUGAUGUGCUCAUUAAUUUAUCCUUUUUGUCACUGAUUUGCAAUAUCUCUGUGAGGUCAUCCUCUCUGGUGGAUGCUUGCAUGGACUGCAACAACAUAGUGCAUAAUAUUCUCUUCAAACAAAAGGGAAAAUAUCUAUUGCUUGAUGCAAGUCCACACCAGUGCAUGUACUUGUGUAGUUAGAACACAAUCUUCAGAUUAGUUCCUUAAAUAUGCAGGUGACUGAAACCCAAAGAGAGUUCACCAAAGCAUCAAAGCUUUAGGAUGAGUAGCUUUGGUUUAUCUUUAUUGUCACUCACAAAAGCAGCUCACUAAUUCAAGUCAUCUUUCUCACUGCACAAACUACAUUCAAGCAAACAUCUUUCUGUGUGUCUGAGUUCUUGUGUACAGUUCGCAGCUCACUCAUGGACUCGGUGGAGAGCAAUAGUUCAUUGCUCCAUGGUAAGUUGGACUGUUGGAGAGUCAUAUCCUUGUUGUCCUGGAAGUUAGCAUAUAGAGGGUGCACAAAGCCAUGGCUGCAACUAUUUCUCUCCUUUGAAGUUAGCAGAAGACUGUUGAGGUAACGCCAUUAAUGCGUUCUCAACAAUAAUAGAAGCCACCACAGAGAAACCGGAUAGCCUUAUCUUGUUGCCAUAUCCUGGCAUCAUCAUCACCAGAACCCCACUCUACAACUUCAAGCCUCCGCGUCCAACGACCCAUAUCCAGUAACUCUUAUCUUUCCCUUGUGAAGUAUUUAGAUGAUGCUAAGCUUGAGGAAAGGAAUACAGAAUAGGAGACUCAAGUGCAAAGAUUCUUGCCUCCUGAUGUCUUUUUAGCUCAUGGAGGAAGGUCUUAUCUCCAAACACUCACCAUAUGUGACUUGCAACACUAGUUAAACUCUUAAGAUAGACUUUUGGCUGACAAAUAAUGAAAUCACUAACAAUUAUAAGCAGCAUUCCUUUAUAUAUAAAAUAGUCCUAUUUGGAUCCAUUUGGCAGUUGUUCAGUGCAUUAGAUGCACUAAUUUGAAAGCCAAACAUAACAUAAUACUCUAAAGAUUAAUGUUUUGGAGGACUAAAGAUCAAUCAUCUGAAGAUAAACAACAGGUUAAAGCAUCUGCUUUUUUAGAGAAGGCACAUAUUCUGAAACUGUUGCACUUCAAGAAGACAUGCAUGCCAGGAUGACAAGAUCUAUAUAUCAUGGCUCUACAUGAAAACUAGAUUACUGGUACUUUCACUAGAAUAUAAUACUGUCACUUCUUAAAGUAAUCCCUUGAGCUUAUCUCCAAGUAACAAAGGCAUCAAAGCUUUAGAUUAUUAGAGAGUAUAUGUUGCUUUUCUUUUGUCUAGAAUGGCUGGUAGGUGUCUUCUUUAUCUCACUUCCUAAACUUACUCAUGGACUUGGUGGAGAAUAGUUUACUGCAGGCUGCUAUUUUCCACCUUCGAAGAUGGCAGGACUGUUGAGGUAGCUCCAUCGAUGCAUCCUCACCAAGAACAGGAGUACAUGCAGAGAGCACUUGUGUGCAGAGUAACAUAGGGAACCAAAAAGCCUUAUCUUGUUGCCAUACCAUCAUUACCAAAGCCACUUUACAGCUUCAAGCUUCCGCGUCCAACAACCAAUGUCCAAUUAAGCUAUCAUUCUCUUGUCAAGGAUUUAAAGGUGAUGCUAAACUUGAGGUGGGCAAUUUAGAAGAGGAGACUUGAGGAGGAAGGCUUUUGCCUUCUAUAACAGGCCCUUUUAUCCUGUGGAGGAAAGACUUAUCAUUAAGAAACUUCAAGUUCUUUAGCAUAUAGAAAUUUUCAUGGACAAUAAAUUUUAAGGGGCAAUCCAUAUCCAUCAUAAUCUUUGUUUUAUAGAGGUAUGUUUAGUAAUUAUAUAGAUGUGAUACAAGAUAUCUAUGAUACUGUAGUUAGUGUAAUGAACAGAUUUAUGUCAUAUCUAGAACAGAUCCACAAGGAUGAUAUUAUUUUGAUCAUUAAAAGUUUAAUUAGGAUUAAUUUAGAUAUAUAUACUGGUGCCUCUGCUAUUUAAUAUUAACAAGUUAUUAAGCAUAUAGGAAUUUUCAUGGAUACAGUAUUGCCAAACUUGAUCCAUUAUAGCCCACAGAUAGUAAUCAUAAAAGAUUCCCAAAAGGUGAUCCAUAUCCAUUACUACCAUUAGUUUCAUAGGUAAAAGGAAAAUAUAAUAAAUAAUUAUAUUAAUUUGAUAAAAGAUAUGUAUGAUAUAAUGAUUUGUAGUGUUAGGAUUGUACGUUAGUAAUAAACAAAUGUUCUUGUCAUACGUGAAAAAUAUCCCCAUGAUUUAUGUUAUGUCAUAUUCACGAUAUUAUUUUGAUUGAUAAAAAAUUAUUUGGACUUAAUUUGAACUUUAGCUAUCAAGAUAAAAUUUAAAAAUAAAUGUUUUAGAUUAAGAAGAAUCAUGACCAAAUACAUGAAAUAUAAUCUUUGAAAUACUAUUAAAAAAUAAGGAUGUAUUUUAAAUAGAUGAAUAAAAAAAUCUUGUAAUAUUUUAGUUAUCUUGGAUUCAUCAUUCGAUAAAAAAAAUAAUAAUGAUGAAGAUAUUAUUGAUAGAGAAAAAUUUAGAUGUAAAAUUUGAGAGAGGCACCAGAGAUAUUUUGAUUUAUUUAUGUUCCCCUUAGAUUUAAAUAAAAAAUAUUAAAUAAUUAAAAUGCCAAUAAUUCUUUAUUGAUCAAAGUGCUGGGAUUAAAAAAAUAAUAUUUUCUGAAGGUUAGAAAUAAGAUUUAAUAAAAUAAAAAGAUGGUCUCAUUCAAAAAUAAAUAAAUAUUGCUCUAAUAGAGAAUAAAAUGAAAAAAUAUAUCAUGUAACAAAAUAUUCAAAGAAAACUAGUAUUUAUUGUGGUUAGAUGAUGUGAGAAGAGUGAGCUCACUAGCAACAAAAAAAAUGAUUUAUUUAUAUAGAGUUCAACAAUUGGAAGGAAAAAUACGGUUGUUCUAUAGAGGUGAGGUAAUAAUGACAAAGACUCACAUGAGUCGCUCUUGACUACUCCCACCCCAAAGUUAGUGGAAAACUUUAAAAUCAUGUAGUAAAUCAAGAUAACUAUACGCAAGCGAUUGAGGGUUAGUGACUAAUGAUUGUAUUAUAGGGGAAUAAAAUAUCGAAUCACUAGAAAUUUUAUUUUCAUGAUUUUAGAGCAAUCAUCAAAUCCAAAAGUAAUAUACAAAUCUAGGGAGUUAUGGAAUUUCACUGAAGCCAGUGAAUAUAGAGGAGAUCAGUUGGAAGUCAUUUACGCUUAACUCGGAUCUUCAAGAAAGCAUCAUAGUAUAUGAUAUGUUGGCAGAACUUCCCAUGUCCACUAAAAUUCUUUUUAUCAUUACAUUGGUGAUCUUGAGAUGACCAUCAUAGCAUCGUUAUGAUGAGGAUCAAUGUGCUCAAUCUCUUCUUCCUUAAACAUAAUCGGAAGAUCUUCUAAGGGGCAAAAUCUUUUAUAUGGAGGGCCCUCGUAUAAUUAUUUUUGGAUGUGGAAUUGGUUCUCUAAAUAUGGGUCCCCACACAAUGAUAUCCACCUAACACUCAAUUGAGCUUUAUAGUCUCGGGGAAGGCUCUCGCACCCUAUGUAAGUAACGAUUAAGCUUCCCCUUCUAGAUGAGCUCCUUGAUCAAUAAUUUUAAAUCAUAAUAAUCUUAUGUGUCAUGCCCAUAAUCUUGAUAUGAGUAAUAGUAUUUUGAAUGGCUUAGACGAGUUGGAGGAUCCUGUAAAGAGUGGCGAGUGUGAAGCAACCUCUUCUCUUUUAUCUGCACGAACACUUCGGUAUGCAACGUAUGACGUAAAAUCUCUACAAGGAGGUGCCCAAUCAACCCUUGGUUUGUCAUUAUAGGGGGCACUCCAAAUUGCCCACUCAUGAACUCCUCUUCUCCCUUGGGACUUUCUUAGGUUCAGAGUUCCUUUUUCUUGUAAUUAUGGAUUAUACUAUGAUAUAACGAUUGGCCUCCUGCAAGAGCUCUAGAAAAAUGUUCAGUAGUUGUAUGAUAACUAAAUAAAAUAACUUCAAAAGUUGAUAGUUGUCGAUAUAAGCGUUAAUUAGAACAUAUGGAUUUAGGUGAGCCACCAGUCUAACUUCAUCAUGAAAUCUUUUUGUAUAACUAGCAAGGGACUCCUUGUUCAUUUGUUGAAUUUCUAAGAGUGAGAUAGUUGGUUUCUCUUAGAAAUAGUUGGUUUCUUUAGCAUCUUAUAGCAAAUAAAAUUUAACUAAAUCUCUUUUACUAGUUAUCCAAAAGAUGAGAUGAAUUUAAGUGAAAACUUUGAAAACCAUUUCCUUGCUACACCGCUAAGAGUGGUCAGAAAAGUUUAGCACAUAAAAGAGUUGCCAUCUCAAAUAAUGUCAUUUGGGAAGUGAAAGCCUUGGAAUAGACUCUUCCAUUAUACUCUUGACAAUUGAGGACUUGAGAUAGGUGUCAAUUUCAGGUUACUUUUCCUGCCUUAUAUCUCUUUUAAUAUCCUCGAGCCAUUGACCUUAGCAUCCUAGUCUAGUUGAGGAGGUGGAACUUUUGGGAGAUGAAUUGGAGAGUAAAUUUCUGGUUGUGGCUCGACCAUUGGUGGGCCUGACUCUGCCAUCAUGCUAGGGGUAAGGAUGAGUGGAAGCACUGGAGCAAGGAAAUGAGGGGUAUGAGGAUUUUAAUGUGUUCCUUAUUACAAUAAUUAGGUUCGUUAGGAGAGAUAUAGAGCAAGAGACUAGAAUACCCCUAUCAAGAACUAGACUUGCUAAGUUAGACUAUGAAAAGUACUAAUAGGAAUGGUGAUAGUUUGGACAAAUGGAGCUGCCGAUUGGAAAAGAGGUGGGUUAAUUGGUGGAUCCUAGAAUAGUCAGCAAAAAAGUUGGCGAUUAGGAAGUUAGAGGAUAGGAGCAUGAUCAAACCUUAGAGAAUCGAAACCAAGGGGUUUGAUAGAGGAGCAUUCAAUGCCAUUAAGCUCGGCCCUCUUGGAUCAUUCAGUAUAUUCAAUUGGUUAGCCUCAUCCGAGUUCAACUUUAAUGGUCUCGUAAAAUUUUCUCGAGAUAUGCUUGGCAUCCCUCCUUCUAGUGCUAAUCUAUUAAGUCAGAUUUUGAUUAUCCGGAGAGGUGAGUCAAAUCUAACCAAGGCUUAUUCUAAGAUUAUCUAAGUUUUUACUUAAGCCUCGAUAAUGCAUCAAUCUUGCAAGACUAAGUUAGGGGUGUUUUCGAAAAUAACUUUUUCGAUGAUCAAGUCAGUUCCCGAGAUUAAAAGCCUAAGACUAUUCGGAUCAGACGGAUUAGGCAAAUUAAUCAACAAGACCAAGAAGAUGAAUCUCCAAAAUAUAUAUCUUGGGAGUCUCUUUUAUAAGUGGUUUGGGAACCAUUACAUUCAAGAUAAUUGGGUAUUAAGAGGGGACGUGUGACAUUUUGGAUGAGGACAUAGUAUAAUGUUCAUCCCUCCUAUUACUUACGUUGCUUAAUUGUGCUUUUCUUAGGGUUGAAUAGUCAAGUAUUUGACCACGUAUGAUUAAUUAAGUUUAUGUCUUUCAAUUCGACUAUCACUCGUCGAUAGAUAAGUUAUUACCAGGAUUGACUUGUCAACUAGGUUUGGAUUGAUGUGUUUGUCAUGUCAAUGUUUUCCGAACAUAAUUAACAUAUACCCUAAUCUAUAUUAAGUGGAUUGGGUUGAUCUAAGAGUUUAGUAAUGCUUAAAUUCAGGUAUAUCAUAUUAAAAUUAGAUUAGACUCAAAUUUGGUUCAUUAUCCAAACACUAAAAUGCUUUAGCAGCUUAAAUCAUUUUCAAUCAUAUCGUUAGAACACACUGCAUCGUCUCUUUAUAGUGUAAUAAAAAUAAUAACCAAAAUUCUGAUCCAAAAUAAUUUUCUUACAGGGGACAUCAUUUCACCAAUAGAAAAUAAAAAUAAGAAAUAGCUUAUCCCAGCAUGUAACAACUGCUUCAAUGCAAGUGCGGGGCUUUAUAUAUAUAUACAUACAUACAUACAUAUAUAUAUAUAUAUAUAUAUAUAUAUAUAUAUACAUAUAUAUAUAUAUAUAUAUAUUUAUAUAUAUAUAUAUAUAUAUAUAUAUAUAUAUAUGUAUAUAUAUAUAUAUAUACAUACAUAUAUAUAUAUAUAUAUAUAUAUGUGUAUAUAUAUAUAUAUGUAUAUNNNNNNNNNNNNNNNNNNNNNNNNNNNNNNNNNNNNNNNNNNNNNNNNNNNNNNNNNNNNNNNNNNNNNNNNNNNNNNNNNNNNNNNNNNNNNNNNNNNNAUGACAUCCAUAGAAAAGAAGAGGCGGGCGUUUUGGGGAUUCAUGGCGAGGGGCUCGUCAGUGCAGGCGCUCUACGAGCUCUGCAAAAAGACCUUCUCGCCUUCUGCCGCUGCUUCCUCUCCUCCUCCCACCUCCGCCAUCCGAAAGAUAGCUGCCCUCUUGGGUAAGCCUCUCUCUCCGCAUUGUUCCUCUCUUAAUGCAUUUCAUUUCUUUCCGUGCUUGUGCCGUGUUGCUUCUCUACUGUUUUCCUCUCAAUUUCAAUUGGAUUUCUCUAUUGCGAAGAUUUUUCUCAUCGAGUCUACUCAAUUUGAGGACUUUGAUGUUUUUUUCUCCGACUAGCAUCAGAAACCCUAGUCCACAAUCAUAUCAUGUAUAAAGGAAAAUUAAAAGAAAAUUUCGGAAUACUUGGAUCUCAAUCGACGUUUAGGGUACCUGGAUGGCGUCAGUAGUUUCAAUCUCGAUCAUUUUACCAAUGCAUGUCUUUGUGUUUGUAUUACCGUGUUCUUUGAAAUUUGCGAUAGGAGUUUUUUCUUUUGGAUAUUUAACUAAAGGAAAUGAAGCACCAUACAAGUAGGUUUUGUUGUUUGUGUUUGUAUACGAUGCUUGUGUUUGUAUCCAUGAUCUCUUUUUAUGUCAAAACUGUUGUCCUACUUGGUGGUCUACAUAUUUUUGUGCACCAGUUUUGAUCGACUCAAGGCUUGAAUGGCCAAAAACAUAAAUAAUCAUUGAGGUUAUUUCUAGCAGCUUCCGUUUGUAAACCUUAGACACUGUUCUCUUACGUUAAGAUAAACCGAAAAGAAGUCAUUUCUGUUUUAUCAUUUUUUAAUCACUGGUUCUUGAAUGGUAUUUAUGCUGUUCAGAUACAAUCAGUCCAGUGGAAGUCGGACUCAAAGCUGAUGAUCUGGAGGAUGAUAGGGGUCAUGGCUUUUUUGGCUCAAGCAUAUAUAAACAUUCAACCAGGGUAGCUCGAUGGGCUCAACCGAUAACAUACUUGCAUAUAUAUGAGUGCAAUAGUUUUUCGGUAAGUUUCAAUCGACCAGUCAUGUUUGUCUCUGACUUGAAAUUAUUUUUAUAUCUGAGAUUACAGUUUCAUUUGCUUAAAAUUUAUAUUCUUGAUCAUGAUGAAGAGAUUGAGAAUCUUGCAAUAAACAUUUGACUAGGUGUAAGCCAACCUAUUAUUGAUGAGCUGUGCAGUAAUGUUAUCAUUAUUGUGAGAGGCAAGAGGAAAUUGCUUUAUUUUUAUCAGAUAACCGUUGCAGACCCUCGCUGGCAAGAGCCUUUUGCACUGAGUUUGUCUAUUUUUAUGACUAUCCUUUUCAGUUGAAUAUCAAAUUUUGAAUAAACUAAGGUUUGUACCAUUUUGACAUGGAGUAGGGUUCUUAAAGUCGGAAAAUAACUUUUAUGAAUUGGUCACCUUUCCUUUCCUAAAAGGACAUUUAAGUGAUAUGAUUGUCUGUCUAUAAUGGAAACAAGCAGAAAUCUGAUACUUAACAAAUUAAGGGCUGGAAUUAAUCAUUUUUAUGGCUAUCCUUUUCAGCUGUAUAUCUAAUUUUGAAUAAAAUAAGUCCUGCUACUAUUUUGACAUGGUGUAGGUUUCUCAAAGUUGGAAAAUAACUUUGAUGAAAUGGUCAGCUAUCCUUUUCUGAAUGAACAUUUAGAUGAUGUAAUUGGUUGAGUAUUAAGGCAAACAAGCAGAAAUAUGAUACUUAUCAAAUCAAGGAAUGGGAUUAGCCAUAAUUUGUUACCUAAUUAGAAUAUCUUUUUUGGAACUCCUUUAAAUAUAUUGGGAAAUAAUGUCAGAUGAAUGAAAUUUCUAGGAAAUAAGAAAACAAGACCAAGAUCUUAUUUGAUGAAACAGUGAAUAGUCCGAUAGAUUAAAACUUGAUAAAGUUAUUUACCUAUCUGAUGGUCUUCAUUUCUCCAUUUCUUUUGUAUAAUACUAGGCCCUUGAUCUUUUAUCUGUUGAUGCAGAUUGGUAUAUUCUGCUUGCCCACUUCAUCUGUUAUUCCACUUCAUGACCAUCCUGGGAUGACUGUGUUAAGUAAGAUUCUGUAUGGUUCUAUGCAUGUGAAGUCAUAUGAUUGGAUAGAGCCUGGCUGCGUGACGCGAAGUAACAAGCCAGAUGACUUUCCUGGUCUGCUUUUAAGCUUUUAAUAAAUAUUGCAUUUCUAUCAUAAUCCUGGCUACUGUUGAAGUUGGUUAAAUUGUUUGAUGUUUCUUGAGCCAAAAAAGGGUCUGAUAUUCUGAAGGGAUUUUGACUUUUUUUGUUGAAUUGUUGACGAACAGACUUUAACAGACGUGUAUGGUAUGAUAAUGACUGAAACAUAAAGAGUCCAGUUUUCACAUGUCAAACCUUUACUUUCAAUCUUUAUGGAGGUAAUAUAUUGGUUGCUAUUUUGACCUUUUUUGUUGAAUUGUCGACGAACAGACUUUAACAGACAUGUGGAUGGUAUGAUAAUGACUGAAACAUAAAGAGUCCAGUUUUCACAUGUCAAACCUUUAUUUUCAAUCUUUAUGGAGGUAAUAUACUGGUUGCUAAUGCAGUUUUUCAGAGUUAUAUUUGUGUUGGCUUCCCAUUGUUUAUUAUGUAGCAGUUUUGGUUUUAGUAUAUCUGAAUACAGAUAUGUUUCUGUCUGUUGACAUGUGCGUGUGUCCAUGGAAUAUAUGUACUUGAAUCUGUACAUGAACAUUUUACCAAACUUAGUUAUGUGGUUCUUAGUAUGACAACACAUAAUCACUCCUUUUAUAACUUUGUUAGAUUUUGAUUUAUGAACAAAGUGAGAGGAUAUUGAUGUAAGCCUUGAUAUUAGUUCCCAUCUCGAACUAUGUGCUCAACCAUCCUCCUGCAGUUUACAGACACAUACAUCACAAUCCCAAUUCCUAAUGGGCUCAGUUGGAGUUGGAUUCCUUCACUCUAAUAGUGUUGGUUAAAUCAAACUUCUAGGAUGUAUUUCUAAAUUUUUCCAGCUUAAAUCUAGCAUAAUCUAGCUAGACUAUUCAGCAGAAUUAAGAGGUCUGAGGACACUGCAAGCUUGAAUAAUUUUGUCAUCUUUAUCUUGUCUUUAUAUAUAUGUAUGUAUGUACAUAUAUAUAUAUAUGUAUGUAUAUGUAUGUAUAUUUAUGUAUAUGUAUAUGUAUAUAUAUAUAUAUAUAUAUAUAUAUGUAUAUGUAUGUAUAUGUAUGUAUAUGUAUGUAUAUAUGUAUGUAUAUGUAUAUGUAUGUACGUAUGUAUGUAUAUUUAUAUAUAUGUACCUAUGUAUAUGUAUACAUACAUAUUUCUUGUUUCUUUUUCAUGCUCCUUUUUUUGUUGGGUGGGGGAGGGUGGAAGGAUUAAUACCAGGAAAUAAGAGCUGCAUCUUGGUAUUAAAAGACAAAACAAAGAGUAAUCUGAACUGCCUGCUUUCUUUUCUGCAGCUUUCUAUGAUACUAGGUUUGCUUGUAGAAGCUUGCUUUUGUAUAUUGGAGAUCUUUGUAGUUCCAUUUUAUUUGUCCGGGCAAAUUGUGUAUGUGUUUUCACAUCAUGGUUUAAAACAUAAUCUUUAUUUCCGAAAAAUGUGUUUCAACUUUUCUUGUUUGUGCAGUAAGAUUGGCAAAAUUACACAUGGACACUGUUCUGACAGCACCAUGUCCAACCACUGUUCUAUUCCCAAGAAGUGGUGGCAACUUGCAUUGUUUCACUGCAGUGACUUCUUGUGCUGUUCUUGAUGUCUUGGCUCCACCAUAUUCCGAGGAAGCAGGACGGUGUUGUACCUAUUACCAUGAUUACCCAUACUCCACUUUCAGUAAGUAAAGAUUGCCAAUCUUCACCAGUGUCUGCUUUACCAACUCUAUACUAUAGUUGAUAUUUUGUCAUUUGAAAUAAAUAAGUGCAACGUUCGCUGAUCUACAAACAGAUUUUUUUGUUUAAAGUGUUUGUAGAUAUUAUGAUUAUGAAUACAUGAAUCUAUGCAUAUUGAAAUUAUGAUCAUGAAUACAUUAUCGUACAAAGAUCUCUGUGCUUUCAUAUGAUCAUAAUGCUCAGCCUGUAAUCCCUGCCUGAAGGAUGAAAUAAGGGGAAAAGAAUAUAAUUCUAACCUGAAGCUGUGUAGCCCCCUCCGAUGGACUUAUGCUUGUGCACAUGUACACCUGAUGAAAAGGCAUGGGAAAAACUUUAACCAGUUAUAUAUUAUAAAUGCUAGACAAAAUCCUCUUUAUCACCAAAAAGGUGUUCAACAGUAACACUUUUGAAGAAACAAUUGGCUUUGUGCUGAUAGUUUAUCAAUUUUUAUAUGAACGAGUUAGUUCUAAUAUGAAGCAUGUUGGCCUUUAUGUAUUCAUGACUACUGUAAAUAUAUACUCUGAAAAAGAAACUUUUGCUACUAUCAAGGCUAUGGAGCUUUCUUACUUGAUUUUAGAAGUAGCUGAAUGAUGUCAUAUGGAGGAAAUUCUUGACUGAACUACUCGGUUGAAUUGACUGGAGGCUUCCAUUUUAAUUGUUUAUGAAACAACUUGUGAAAAUUGUCCUUUGUUUCUUCAGAGAAUCGAUAGUAUGUGACAAGUUUACUUUGACAGCACCUGUGAGUAGAAUUUUAGUGAAUGAGAAUGAAGAUGAAUAUGCAUGGCUUGAGGCUAUAGAAGCUCCAGAUGAUCUUCACAUGCGUUCAGGCAGAUAUACUGGACCAGCUGUACAGGUAUAGAUUCAGUGCUCCUGAGAUAUAUGAAUACUCAAGCAAUGGCCUUAUUAAUCUUGUGAUGUGUGUUUGUAUGCUGUUGGAUUGAGUUCCUAACAACAGGAAGAGUCAUGGUUUCCAGGAUCAUGCACUGUAGUCUGAAGUAUCCCUUCUUGGUGCACAUCAAGCUACAGUGAGAGCAACUCCUCCAGCAUGAAAGAGAAGAUGACAGCUCAAUCUACAGGCCUAAUCUGAUUUGAAGAACAUUGGUCCAAUGUAACAACCUUAUGCAUGCUAUGGUUUUGUUUUGCUACCACCGAAUGAAAGUUUCUUAUUAAUUUUGAACUGGAAAGCAAAACGACUGUGUUAUCUUUGCAUGUUGCAGUUCAAGUUCCCUUGGUCCAGAAUCAGACUGCUAAGUUAGCUUCAGGUUGUUUCUAACUUUAUGUUCGCAGACGCAUGUAAAAGAUCUAGGACACUAUUUUUAUCUUGCAAAUAAAUCGGUGAAAGAACUUUGAGCCACAAUGGCAACUCUUCUAAGCUCACAUUAUGGAUGUUAAUUUAUUCAUUUUGUAGGAAAUUUAUUUCUGACGCACUGAUAAUUUUACUUAACCAUGUGGAUGCUCUUAAAUUUGUCAUUCGUCUUAAAAGUCUUCACUGAUUGGAAGCUGGAGGAAUGUAAGGAGCACUAAAUCCCUCCAAAAUAUUUAUAGUGACUACUGAUUAGUUUUGCUGGGCAAAGCUAGUACUUAACUACUGUUCAAGUGUAUUUAUUUAUGACCUCUUGCUAAAUUCUGAUGAGAGAUGCUGAGUAGAUCAAACCAGCUGACUGGAAACUCUCAGGACUUUUGAUUGUUGUAUUAGAUUUUUAUUGGUUUAGGAUCUUCUUUAGUGCAGAAUUUGGUUGUUUGCUGUUCCGCCGGGUCAUUGUGCAUGCUAUUCCAGCUUUGUGCCUGCCCCUUUUUGGCUUCAUGCCACUUGCAAUCCUUUAAAUAGAUGUUGGCCAUUUCACAUAAUUGUUCUACAGAUGCUUCAGCUUAACAUCCAACAUGUGCAGGAGGCUAUUUUGAUUGCUUAGAUACUUUUUGUUGUCAUUAGGUCAGAUUGCAGCAUUUGGAUCUGACUCGAAGUGUAUCAUUCAUGUAACCCACAGAAGCAUAUGAAAGAAGAAAAAUCAUGGUGGUAUUUUGAAGUAGUGAUCAAUUACAUGGAAGGAAAAAAAGACCACCCAUUGCAGAGAACAUACUAAAUGUAAGUAUGAUCUUCGAGCUGCUUUUUAGGUCUGAUGCAGACAUGGGUUUUUGUUUUUUUGACAAAAAGGGAUUGAAAAUUGAACACAAGAUCCCUGACUUUGUUGACUAAAUCUUCUGAUCUUUAUUAUACUUUAAAAUCUCUAUGACUUAAUAAUAUAUAUUGGUGUCUUUAUUAAAUAGCUAAUAUGCUUCGAUUAUGAAGUUUGUACCUCAUAAAAUAAUAUUGAUCAUCCUAAAAUCUCUUAUAUUAUUUCCUGUUAUGUGCAUAUAUCUCAUAACUUGAUAUGGACAUAGUUUUAAAAGACAUGCAUGCCAGAUUUCAUAUGUCAAUUUCAUAUUUGUUCGCCAAUAUAUAUUGUUCUAUGUGUUGCUCAUUUACAAUUUCAUAUAUCCUUCCAAAACCACAAAGGUUAUGAAUAUAUAUAUGUGAAACAAUUCAGAAAUUACAAAACCAUCAUGUUAGACACUUUAACUACUGCAACUUGAAAGUAAACAAUCCUUUAAUAUUAUUUUUCCUCCUUGUUGUUUUCUUGACCGCAGAUCAGAAGAAGCAUCACUUAAGCACACAAGGGAAGUGGGUUGGAAUCGGUCCAGUUGUUGCAGCUAGCAUGACAGAUUCUUGUUUGGUUCGAAGCUCAUUGUCACCUUUAAUCAUGCUUGGUCUUUUCUCUCCAUCGCACCGGUGGCAAUGGGACUUUGACAGAGGUGAUGACAUGCAAGGUGCACCAAACACCAGUGAUAUCUACUGCCUACCUGUACAAGACGCACACCUUGUACCUAAUUUCUUCAUCAUUCAUUGAUGCUGAGACCAUCAUGUUGCAUGGAUUCAUCUUGAGAUGGGACCUCGGUAUCAGCAGUGCUGUCGGCAGCCGCCAAAAUAUUCUCACGUCUCUUCGUCCAAAAAUGCACCGGUGGAGUGUAACGGAGGAGGCAUUGUUCAUGUGGUUUUGAACAGUGACAAGGUAAUCUCCCUGGAAAAGUCAUGAAAGCUAUAAUCCUCAGGGAUGUGAUGGAUGAGUGCUUCUCCUUGUCAUGGCACAAAGUCUCUCAGAAAAAUAAUGCAGGAAUUAAAAUGAUCGAUCACUGUCGAUUCAAAGCUUAAGCUCUACGAGUCAUGAAAGGUAUGGAUUUGUAAUAUUAGAGUAGAUCUUGGUGAAUCUUGCAUUUGACCUCUGUCUCAUCAGCAAUAUUUGCUUGUGGUUGGACACAUACUAAAUCGUAUAGAUCAAAGGCUGUUGGCAUGUGUGGUGUUCCUUUUUCUUAUAUCCCACCUUUGUUUGUAGCCAAACGGACGGGAAUCUAAUUCUCCCCUCCCAACUUAUAAGUGAACUAUCUUUUGUUUAUGUCCUUUCUUUUUAUCCCUAUUCUCUUGGUUUAGCUCACCCACCUCCUAGACUCUUAUUAUGACACCUUAGAACCCUAAAUUAUGACCAUUACAUAUGCUUUGUGACACAGAAAAAAUUAUACCUUUUUUUUGUACACAAACUAUCCUUGCACUCUUAUUUCUAUUCUCUUUUUAAUCAACAAUCUUAGAACUAAAAUUAUGCUUCACCCAACACAGUAUGUGCUUUUAUAUGAUCCUCAACUCUCUCUUCUCUAACACUCAUUCCUAUUGCAACAGAGGAUGAAAAAUAUGUCAGAUGAAGAGCCUAAAUAAGGGUGUUUUAUCAUAUAAUGACUCUCCUAUCAAAGACAAUUUUGUCAAAUUAUUUAUGGUUGGAUCGCAAAGUAUGAUUUUUCAAGGAGUAAUAUCAUAAUAAAUCAAGGGUUGUAUAUAAAUUUAACUGAGCAGGGAAUUCAACUCCUUCAAGCACUUGUAGAAAGAAAAAACUUGAUAGCUAUGCUACCAGAAGUAGGGGCAUAAAGAAUUAAGCCACACUAAACUAUGUCCUCCAUUUGGUGGAAAGCAAGGAAUCAAAUAUGAUAUGUCCUCCCUGAUUGAUAGAUGAAUUAUUUAGCAUUAUUAAUCAAUUAAUAGGCCCUGGUGAAUUCUUAAAAUAAUUAUAUGUUUUGUGGCAUUAUCAUACAAAAGAGACUGAUGUAACUCAAAAACUUCUAUUAUCAUAUGGUUAAUCUUCAUUAAUUGACCAUUAGCAUAACAACAUUGAGACUUGAAUUGAUAUUAGUACUCCUCUCAAAAUAUUGAGAAACAUUAAUGGUGAAAUAACUGGUGGAGAUAUUAGUACUCCUCUCAAAUUCAGUAAUAAACUUGAGUUUAUUGGAUGGAAGAUGACAGAAAUGGAAUGCAUGCAAUAUUAAAUCUUGAAGGGUCAAAUAUACAAUGUGUGAGAACACAUGUUUCUGGAUUAAAUACCCUUCAAAUAGGGUUGGUAUCUUAUCAUCUUUCUACUUGUAUGUGGUGACAUGGACAUGAUUAAUGUAUGAGCCUACACUCUUAGAAAGUUUUCAUUGUUUAUGGAUUCCCCCACCAAAUAUUUCAUCCGUAAUCAAACCUGCGUCUAUAAUAAGAUAUUGACUCCUUUUGCAUGCUUUACUUUCCUCAACUUGUUCUUAUUAUGUAUUCUUCAGUACCUUUCAGAAACUCUCUCUCUCUCUNNNNNNNNNNNNNNNNNNNNNNNNNNNNNNNNNNNNNNNNNNNNNNNNNNNNNNNNNNNNNNNNNNNNNNNNNNNNNNNNNNNNNNNNNNNNNNNNNNNNNNNNNNNNNNNNNNNNNNNNNNNNNNNNNNNNNNNNNNNNNNNNNNNNNNNNNNNNNNNNNNNNNNNNNNNNNNNNNNNNNNNNNNNNNNNNNNNNNNNNNNNNNNNNNNNNNNNNNNNNNNNNNNNNNNNNNNNNNNNNNNNNNNNNNNNNNNNNNNNNNNNNNNNNNNNNNNNNNNNNNNNNNNNNNNNNNNNNNNNNNNNNNNNNNNNNNNNNNNNNNNNNNNNNNNNNNNNNNNNNNNNNNNNNNNNNNNNNNNNNNNNNNNNNNNNNNNNNNNNNNNNNNNNNNNNNNNNNNNNNNNNNNNNNNNNNNNNNNNNNNNNNNNNNNNNNNNNNNNNNNNNNNNNNNNNNNNNNNNNNNNNNNNNNNNNNUACUCUCUCUCUCUCUCUCUCUCUCUCUCUCUCUCUCUCUCUCUUUCUGUUUUGAGUCUGUGGAAGGAGUAGGUGCUUUGGCAACUUCAUGACUGAACAUUCUAACAACAGCUUAAUUUUUUUUGUUUCUGUACCAUACCAUCCUGAUUAGUUCCUGUACAUGCAAAUUAUUUGGGCAGGAGAAUAGGUUUCUUCUUCUCUCUCAAGCUAGCCACUGUGGUCUUUUGCAGCAUGGACAACUAUAAAUGGAGAGCAGCAGCAUAUGAGGUGGGAGAACCUUCUUCUUCUUACACCAUAUCAUAUCAUGAAGCCUUAUUCUCCAGAGCUUCAGAAUGGGAGCAGCAGAACAAGCCUGCAGAACACCCCCAGGAUAGUCCUCCUCCUCACUGCCACCUUGUUCCUCCUCACCAUCAUUCCUCUCUAUCUCUUCCCUUUGCUAGCCACAUCGUUCGCAUGGAGAAACUUAUCCUCUCCACCUUCCUCCCCUUCUCCUUCUCUUUCUUCUUCCUCUUCCUCUCCAUCUUCUUCUUCUCGUGACAUGAGCCGUGACGCCAUGGCUGGUGUGACGAUGGCCAAGAGCUCGUGUGAUAUCUUUAGGGGGGAGUGGGUGCCCAACCCUAACGCGCCUUACUACACCAACGAGACGUGCUGGGCCAUCCAUGAGCACCAGAACUGCAUGAAGUUUGGGAGGCCGGACACGGAGUUCCUGAAGUGGAGGUGGAAGCCGAACGACUGCGAUCUGCCCAUCUUUAACCCGGCGCAGUUCUUGGAGCUCGUCAGAGGGAAGUCACUGGCCUUCGUUGGAGACUCGGUGGGGAGGAACCAAAUGCAAUCCCUCAUCUGCCUCCUGCUCAGAGUAAGUCCCUCUCUAAUCUUUGUUCUCUCACCUUCCACUCGAUGAAGGAAGCUGUAUUAUGUUCAUAAGCAUCGAUGGCCAGAAUGACUCACCACCCUUAAGCUGAGCUGAACCAAUCAGCACACUGCACAAAGACCUUCACAGCUACAGUGGAAGGUUGACAUGAGAGGGGAGAGGGCAUAGAUGUCAUGUGCUCUAUUCACUUUUUGUAGGAUAGUAUCCUAUGGAAUUUUUGUCAGUGAUGAUAACUAGUCCUCAACUCUCAGUAGCAUACUUUCAUCUAUAUAUAUAUACAUAUAUAUAUAUAUAUAUAUAUAUUGCAAGGUUAUCUUGUAGCAAGUAUACAACUUUAAGAUCAUUCUUUGUGCCAAUAAGCAGUCAGAAAAGUUCAGACUAGCCAGUUGGUGGAAGGUAAAAGCUCAAAUCUUUUGCUAGAAAAAUAUUUCACAUUUAUAUUAACUCAAUCUCUUGGGUUUGGUAGGAGGAGGACAAAAGAGUUGUGUAUCUUUUCAGCUUAUAAAUAAGAAGGUUAAGCAUUUUAACUUCAGAAUAGCCAGCUAUGGACUUUUGUAGUGUUCCAUAGAUAUAUCUGUCCUUUGUUCUUUUAUUUAUACUUGGUUAGAGCCUAACCAUCCUUUGUGCAUAGACCAAUAUUAUUUCUUGGCCUGUAGGGGUGGAGUGGGUACCCUUUCCCUGUCCUAACAUUUCUGGUGUCUUACAUGCAUGCACUAAAAUGUAGAGCCAAUCACAUAUCAUCUUUUCGAAAGGAUUUCCAUCUCUGCUUCGUUAAAUUUAUAGGUCACAUAUGCGGUGGAUGCGUCGGUCACUGAAGAUGAGAAGUUCCGGCGGUAUCACUUCCCGACCCACAACUUCACGGUGGCCAGCUUCUGGUCUCCGUUCCUGGUGAGGGCACACGAAGCCGACCCCAAUGGCCCAACCCUCACCGGCCUCUUCAACCUCCACCUGGACCAAGUGGACACCAACUGGACCACCCAGAUGACGCCGUUCGACUACGUCAUCGUCUCCGCCGGCCACUGGUUCUUCCGCCCCACCAUGUUCUUCGAGGCCGACCAGCUCGUCGGCUGCCACUACUGCCUCCACCCCAACGUCACCGACCUGACCAUGUACUACAGCUACCGGAGGGCCUUCAGGGCCGCGCUCCGGGCCUUCAACGACCUCCCGGGCUUCAGGGGCACGGUGUUCCUCCGGACCUUCGCGCCGUCGCACUUCGAGAACGGCGAGUGGAACAAGGGGGGCAACUGCGUGCGGCAGCGGCCGUUCCGGAGCAACGAGACAAGGAUGGACGGCUACAACCUGGAGAUGUACAUGGCGCAGCUGGAGGAGUACCGGGCGGCGGAGGGCGAGGGGAAGGAGAAGGGCGUCAGGUUUCGGUUGCUGGAUACCACGGAGGCGAUGCUACUAAGGCCGGACGGUCACCCGGGCCGGUUCGGCCACCGCCCCGACGAGAACGUGACUCUCUACAAUGACUGCGUCCACUGGUGCUUGCCGGGGCCGAUCGACAACUGGAACGAUUUCCUGCUCCAUAUGCUGAAGAACGAGGGUGGCAGAUCAGCCGCCGGCCGACGAUCCAGGAACGACAGGAAGUCCACGAUCAAAUAGGUGAUCAACAUUGCUUCUCUUUUUGUUCUUAGAGCACGUAAUUUGUAUUUUAAUUAGUAUACCAUACUGUGGUCUACAUGAAUUUUGGUUUGUUCUUUCUCCAUGCAUCAAAAGGUUGUAGAAAGCUGUGUGAUAAGCCAUUACCGUGAGACCAAUGUCAAUAAUUGUUGUGCUGAAGCUACUGCUGCCUUAUCACCAUUAAAUAAGCCUACUUCAUCAUUGCUUGAAGACUAAGCUUUCAUCAAACAUGUCCUUACAAGACCUUCUUUAAACACCACAGCUCUUUAACUUUACAGGACUCCUGAGAUCACAUUGCUAAAAGACUGCUUUAAACACCACUAAGCUUCUUAGUUCUUAGCAUUACUCACUACAAGAAAAACUGGGUUUACAUCUCUCAAAAAGCUUCAUCUUUGAUUCAUAAAUAAACUUGUAGUUACUAAUCAAUCACAACAACUCAAUUUUCACAUAAUAACUAGGAAAAAAUUAGAACGGGCUGUACUGAAAAGAAUAGCUUACUAAGCAAAUUUGCUCAUUUAAAGAUGCUUCAGAUCUGAAGCACUAAUAAUAAUAUAAAAGAACUUGAUGACCAGUAUAAUCAAUCAGGCUCUCUGUGCCCCCACAGUGUCCUAAAGAUAGAUAGGAAUGGCAUGAAAUUCCCAAGAAAAAUUCCACUCAAAGAAUAAUCAUCAAGACUCAUAAAAUCAUACAGGAAGAUAUAAGGAAAAAUAAGAGGAAACUUACUUUUGCAUUAAGUGGAAGAUGUUUUACUUGCAAACCAAUAAUAAAUUGCCCUCAAGUGUUAAACAACCAAUGCAGUGUACCAGUUAUCCAACUAAUACAUAGUGAACACUCAAAGAAUACAAAGUUGAACUGGUGUUGAGAGUAAAUAAUAUAGUUAGCUAUGCUUGGCAUCCUACUACAUUUCUUACAUUCAGAAAAGAUAGAAAGAAAAUUAUCAAAUAUGAUAAUAAAAAACCAGUUUUUCAUCCUGGCUGUCUGGCAUCAAUGCAUGAGACCAUUUCAGCUGCAUAUGGGGUCAAGUUGAAUCUUACAUGAAAUAAUCAAGACUUAACCAAUGGCUGGCUAAACUUCAGAGCAUUAUUUGCUCUCAGUCAUAGAUGUAAUUAACCUCCAGAAUGUUGUGUGCUCUCUCUGACCAUGCACAUUACAGUCAUCUAGUGUGUAUCAAGGAUAUCUCCUGUCUUGCCCAAAAAAUUCAGAGGCUGGCACAGAGUCAACACUGCAAUAAACCCAAUUCACAAAGUCAACAAUUUCUGAUGACAGGAAUUUUCUGCAUACACGACUUCUAAUGAUGCAGUAUGAGAUUUCACAAAUCAUGAAGAGCAACAAGAGAUCUUCCAAGACAGGUGAAGUUGACACCCAAAUCAGCAAAAUAAGAAUUCUCGUGGAAUUUUUACCAGCAACAUCAUCAGUAGGGAUUUCGUUAUCUAAGAGUCGUACGCUACCAUAACUGGAGAAAAUUUUCCAGUGUCCCGAGUCUUUUCACCCAGAAUUUGGGAGAAGUAACGAGAAACAUAAUCAUGUAGCUAAGUCAAACCUUCAAAUCACGGAAGACAUCUCAAUCACCUUCAUAGGAAACCACGCCCUUCUGUCCAUUAGUAUGAUCAGCUUUACUUCGUUUUCCCCACUUAUUCCUCCCGAAGCCAUGUUAAAUCCAUCUCACAAUAUCUGCCGCUUGCCCGUUCUUGACGACUUACAAAACAGAUCCAGCUUCCUAGCUAAAAUUGAUAUUUUAAUUCAUCAUCUGGAUAGAACAGCAAACUGAUAAUAUCCCAAUUAGCAAGAUUUAGUACGAGAACUAAACCAAAUUGGAACAUACGUACAUAGUUAAAGAUGUCUAUUUGACAACUACAGGCAUCCAAACAGAACGGGAACAGUUUAUUGCGCAGAAAGAAAAUUACUUUCCUCAUCCAUCAAUCAUCAAGCUCGAGCCUUCCAUCACUCCGUACCGAUCUGUAUGUUUAUGGCACUAUUAUUGCCGACUCAAAAAUAGCCAUCACCUCAGAUCUGCAGAAGUCAAUCAAGAUCUGCAGCAUCAACUGGGUCACAUCAAUCAACGCUACCAUCAAAUUUGUACCUUUUUUCUCCCAGUCUCUGGUGUAAAGAAUAGAGCUAAAGAAGAGAUCGCAACAAAUGGACGGCGAAGGGGGGUCGGGAGACGGGUCGAUGUGGAAGUCCGGAUGCUGACGUUCGUCGACCUACUCCCCCUUCGAACGCAUAGAAAAGCAAGAAAACGAACGGACCUGACCACCGCCACGAGAGAGACUAACAGGGCCAGUAAGGGAUCGAUGAACCGCUGCCCCCAGAGAUCAAUAGACUCGAGAGGACGAGGAGGAGGAAGAGGGGAUCGGAGAUUGGUGACGUGCGUCGAUCGGGUCAAGCAGAGCCGUCGGAUCCAGGUUCCGGUUCGGAUCAGUGGCUCUCGCCCGCCAGUUUGGACAUCAAGAUUCGGUCACGCGAGUCUUGCGUUGAUGGCGAGUUCAGUCGAAAAAGACGCGAACGGUUCGGACCGGCCUGGUUUACCAGGUAAUUCCACAAUCUCGACGUGCGUCGAUAGGGUCAAGCAGAGCCGUCAGAUCCAGGUUCCGGUUCGGAUCAGUGGCUCUCGCCCGCCGGUUUGGACAUGAUCUUAUUUAUUUUUUUGAUAUAAUUUAACAUUAUAUGAUCUUAUUUAAUUAAAUAAAUAUAUUAUAGAUCUGAUUGGAUUCUAAUUAUGAUUAUAGAUCAAUAGAAAAAAAAUAUAUUUAUGAUAUACUUCCUUAAGAGAUGUAUUUGAUGAGAAAACUAAUCACUUAUCCUACAUCUCUUGCUCUUGAUUAUAAAAAGACAAAAUCUCUUAUGGGUAUACGAUGCAUGAAACACGAUUAAAAUUAUUGAUUUAUUAUUUUAUUAUUCAAAAUAGUCUUAUGAUGAAUAUGAGACUGAAGCAAUUUUUUGAUGUUUUCUAUAUUUUAUAGAUUCAUUCUAUAAAUACUAUUCAUAAAUAGUGUUUAAGUGUAUAGAUGCCUCCGAAUUUUUUAUGGUCUGAUUUAUAAAUUCUAUUUUAGGGUACAUGUAAUAUUGAUAGGCUCCAUAACCUAGAGGAUUAAUUUUGAUCAUGGCUUCAAAAACAUUUUGAUUUCAAAAUUGACGGACAAUUUCAAUUCAAAUUACUAAUUUUUUUUAUUAUAGUUUAAUUAAAAAUUUAAAACAUAAAAAAAUUUUAAAUAAAAAAAUAAAAAAUUUGAUAGUUUUAAUUAGAACCGAAACCAGCUAUUUCAGAAUCUUUCAUGAUCGAUUUCGAUUUAAUUUGAAAUCGACGAAAGAUUGAUUUGGUUUCGAUUUUAACCCAAUUCGAAUUCCGAUUCGAACCAAACAAUUAUGAGCUUCAUCAUAAUCAUAGUUUCUCAUGAACUUAGUUUGAAAUAAAAUCAAAUAGUAACACCCAAAUGCUUCUUCUAAACUUACCAAAUUGUCUUGAUGGACUUGACAAAUAUAGGCCAUAGAUUGGUAGCAUAAAUGUUGCUCAUAAAAAGUUGCAUGUCUGAGUAGUAACACACCAAACCUUUAUAUUUGGUUUUCUUCUUAUUUUCAAUAUUUACAAAUAGAUGAUGUGAAAAAUAGGAUAUAUAUAUAUAUAUAAAAAGAGAAAACCCCUUUAAAGUUUCAGGGAUUGUUUGGUAAAUUCAGUCACUCUCGGCCCUAAAAGGAGGAGAAACGAAUGAAAGCGGAAACCACAAUCUUUUUGGUUAUCCGUUUCGCUUCGCUCUGCGUCCCUCCACCUCUUCCUCAUCCUCUGUUGCUUCCGUCGUCGAUUCUUCUCUCUCUCGUUCUUCAAGGAAGAGAAGGUGGCUGGGCCUUCGGGAAGGAGCGUUGGUCGGGAUUCGGACCGGUUGACAGCUCCUCGCUGUGGGGUGGAUGGCGUCCUCGGGUUGAAUCCCUCGGCUCUCGCGGGUGAUUGUCCGUCUGCAAAGAAAAAAAAAAAAAAAAGACCUUCAUCGUGUGGUUUCCGACCGUCCGUGGCCCCUCCGACGAGCAAGUCAAUCCUGAGAAAGGUUGUUAAGAGUUGUCAUCAUUUUUUUUUCUCCCCUCGGUGCGGAGGGCGGCCCGAGGUUUUUAUAUUGUUGCAAGGAGGUCUAUACGGCUUGGCGUGGUGGACGCACCAAAUAGUGCCUCGAUACAGAUUUUGUUUUGGCGUGUGGGGAUGGUGUCGUCCCGGUAAACCUGGGACGAGACGUGUCAAGCGAUGCCUUGGGGUAUGGACUCUGACGUGGCGUCGCAUCGGCUGUGACGUGUCCGGGGGGCAAAAUAUACCUUAUCACUUCUCCCCCCGUCAAGACGCGCCGUGGGGUUCUAAAAGGGCCGGGAAGCGUGUCUGGGUCAGAAUGUUACGAUUGUGUUACGAGUGGGACCGGGGUCGGCUCGUUGUGGGGCGGUCUGGAGGGGCAGCGCCCCGCGCCUUGAGAAGGGUCGAGACUGCUGAUCGGGCGGUCGAGCCGAACGAGGAGAGGUUGUCGUGCCGUAGGUCGUGUAAUUAGUUUGGCGCGACUCGGAGUUACGGACGACGAGUUGCAAGUCGGAGACCGAGCUGGAGCAGCUCGGGCAAGGGGCUAGCAGAGACGUGACUCGAGCGUCGGAUGUGGCCGAGAUGUGAGUCAGGAAUAAAUCUGAAGCGGCACGGGUGAGGAAUCGACUGACGAGUUGUUAGUCGGUAAUCGAUCUGGAGCGACUUGGGCGAGGACUGGGUCGACGAGUCACCAAUCGAGAAUCGAUCUGGAGUGACUCGGGCGGAUAUGCAUGUGAUGCACAUGUGGAGUGGAAUCAUUUGUAAAGCAAGAAAUGACUACGAGCAAUUCAUAUCUUAUCAAUGUUACUAUGCGAUGCAAAUAGUUGUGGAUUUUUGGCCUACAAAUCAUCUCUAGUGUCGACCAAAAGAAAAAAUAACUCAUAUCUUUACGUCACGUAGAGAUGCAUGCAUGUAUACAUUUGAAAUUUGGCUUUCAGAUGCAUGCAUUCAAUUCUAACACUCAUUUGGCUUUCAGAUGCAUGCAUUCAAUUCUAACACUCAAAAGAAGAGACUAUGAUUAAUCAUACCAAUUGUAAACCAAAAAAAAGGAAAUACUCUGAUUAUGUAUUGUUGGAAUUAUUUUAAGAGGAGAUGUUAGUGUAUUGUUGGAAUAAGCUAACACUAAUCUUCAUUAACGAAUCAAAAGGGAAGCUUUCCGUAAGUACGUGCAUGCAUGCAUAAGGUUGAUUGACACCAUGCAAUAUACUAAUCGUUUGACUUGAGAUAAAAAAAGGGGAGGGAUUAAAUAACAUGGUUUAUGUCUCCUCUCAGAUGGCCUCGUCGACGCAAUGAUCAAAGUAAUAAUGCAUCUCAAUAUCAUGUUCGAUUUCUCCAUUAUUGACUGCACCAACACUCAAACAUUAUGAAUCUUAUCUAUACCUCUCUCUUACAACUCAUGCUUCAUCGUAUAUACACAACUUAAUUUGUCUCAGACCCAAUUUCCCAGUCAAGAUGAAAAGGAGUUGUCAGCAAAGAUGCU